rnacentral:lncRNA from 1 species
CCGAUUCUAAGCUGUUAAGCAUGGUGCACUUAAACUAUCAAGUAGUCAUCAUAUUGAGCUAGCCAAACGUUCAUAACGUUUGCAUCUGCUCCUGCAAUAGGUCUGUCACCUAGCGGUGCAUUAAGGACAUAAUUCUUCUGUGCAGCAAUGAGGAUAAACCUCCGAUCACGGAUCGAAUCCGCAUCAUUGCUACUAACAUUUUUUCAACACAAUUUUCUCUAGGAACAUAUCAAAAACAAACAUAUGAAAGCAACAACGCGAGCUAUUGAUCUACAACAUAAUUUGCAAAAUACUACCAGGACUAAGUUCAUGAUAAAUUUAAGUUCAAUUAAUCAUAUUACUUAAGAACUCCCACUUAGACAGACAUCUCUCUAGUCAUCUAAGUGAUCACGCGAUCCAAAUCAACUAAACCAUAACCGAUCAUCACGUGAGAUGGAGUAGUUUUCAAUGGUGAACAUCUUAUGUUGAUCAUAUCUACUAUAUGAUUCACGCUCGACCUUUCGAUCUCCGUGUUCCGAGGCCAUAUCUGCAUAUGCUAGGCUCGUCAAGUAUAACCUGAGUAUUCUGCGUGUGCAAAACUGGCUUGCACCCGUUGUAGAUGGACGUAGAGCUUAUCACACCCGAUCAUCACGUGGUGUCUCGGCACGACGAACUUUGGCAACGGUGCAUACUCAGGGAGAACACUACUUGAUAAUUUUUAGUGAGAGAUCAUCUUAAAAUGCUACCGUCAAUCAAAGCAAGAUAAGAUGUAUAAAGGAUAAACAUCACAUGCAAUCAAUAUAAGUGAUAUGAUAUGGCCAUCAUCAUCUUGUGCUUGUGAUCUCCAUCUCCAAAGCACCGUCGUGAUCACCAUCGUCACCGGCGCGACACCUUGAUCUCCAUCGUAGCAUCGUUGUCGUCUACGCCACCUAUUGCUUCUACGACUAUCGCUACCGCUUAGUGAUAAAGUAAAGCAAUUACAGGGCGUUUGCAUUUCAUACAAUAAAGCGACAACCAUAUGGCUCCAGCCAGUUGCCGAUAACUUCGGUUACAAAACAUGAUCAUCUCAUACAAUAAAAUAUAGCAUCACGUCUUGACCAUAUCACAUCACAACAUGCCCUGCAAAAACAAGUUAGACGUCCUCUACUUUGUUGUUGCAAAUUUUACGUGGCUGCUACGGGCUUAAGCAAGAACCAAUCUCACCUACGCAUCAAAACCACAACGAUACUUCGUCAAAUAGACUCCGUUUUAACCUUCUCAAGGACCGGGCGUAGCCGUACUCGGUUCAACUAAAGUGAGAGAGACAGACACCCGCCAGUCACCUUUAAGCAACGAGUGCUCGUAGCGGUGAAACCAGUCUCGCGUAAGCGUACGCGUAAUGUCGGUCCGGGCCGCUUCAUCUCACAAUACCGCUGAACCAAAGUAUGACAUGCUGGUAGGUAGUAUGACUUGUAUCGCCCACAACUCACUUGUGUUCUACUCGUGCAAAACAUCAAACCAUAAAAACCUAGGCUCGGAUGCCACUGUUGGGGAACGUAGUAAUUUCAAAAAAUUUCCUACGCACACGCAAGAUCAUGGUGAUGCAUAGCAACGAGAGGGGAGAGUGUUGUCUACGUACCCUCGUAGACCGAAGCGGAAGCGAUCACAACGUAGAGGAAGUAGUCGUACGAUCUCCUCGCGAUCCAACCGAUCCUAGCGCCGUUACUCCAGCGCCCCCGAGUUCUUGACACACGUACAGCUCGAUGACGCUCCUCGGGCUCCAAUCCAGUAGAGCUUCGGGGAGGGAGAAUUCCGUCAGCACGACGGCGUGGUGACGAUCUUGAUGUUCUACCGGCGCAGGGCUUCGCCUAAGCUUUGCGACGAUAUGACCGAGGUGGAAUAUGGUGGAGGGGGCACCGCACACGGCUAAGGAACGAUCCGUAGAUCAACUUGUGUGUCCUAGGGUGCCCCCCUGCCCCCGUAUAUAAAGGAGCAAGGGGGGGUGCGGCCGGCCCUUGGAGGAGGCGCGCCGGAGGAGUCCUACUCCCACCGGGAGUAGGACUCCCCCCCUUUCCUAGUUGGAUUAGGAUUGGGGGGAGGGAAAGAGGGAAGGGGGGGCGCCGCCUCCCUCUCCUUGUCCUAUUCGGACUAGGGGGGGAGGGGGCGCGCGGCCAGCCCUGGCCGGCCCUUCCUCUUCUCCCUCAUGGCCCACUAAGGCCCAAUAACCCCCGGGAGGGUUCCGGUAACCCCCCGGUGUUCCGGAAAAAUCCCGAUUUCACCCGGAACCAUUCCGAACUCCAAAUAUAGGCUUCCAAUAUAUCAAUCUUUAUGUCUCGACCAUUUCGAGACUCCUCGUCAUGUCCGUGAUCACAUCCGGGACUCCGAACUUCUUCGGUACAUCAAAAUACACAAACUCAUAAUAUAACCGUCAUCGAAACCUUAAGCGUGCGGACCCUACGGUUCGAGAACAAUGUAGACAUGACCGAGACACGUCUCCGGUCAAUAACCAAUAGCGGGACCUGGAUGCCCAUAUUGGCUCCUACAUAUUCUACGAAGAUCUUUAUCGGUCAGACCGCAUAACAACAUACGUUGUUCCCUUUGUCAUCGGUAUGUUACUUGCCCGAGAUUCGAUUGUCGGUAUCCAAUACCUAGUUCAAUCUCGUUACCGGCAAGUCUCUUUACUCGUUUCGUAAUACAUCAUCUCACAGCUAACUCAUUAGUUGUAAUGCUUGCAAGGCUUAAGUGAUGUGUAUUACCGAGAGGGCCCAGAGAUACCUCUCCGAUAAAUGGAGUGACAAAUCCUAAUCUCGAAAUACGCCAACCCAACAUCUGCCUUUGGAGACACCUGUAGUACUCCUUUAUAAUCACCCAGUUACGUUGUGACGUUUGGUAGUACCCAAAGUGUUCCUCCGGUAAACGGGAGUUGCAUAAUCUCAUAGUUAUAGGAACAUGUAUAAGUCAUGGAUAAAAGCAGUAGCAACAUACUAAACGAUCGUGUGCUAAGCUAAUGGAAUGGGUCAUGUCAAUCAGAUCAUUCAACUAAUGAUGUGACCUUGUUAAUCAAAUAACAACUCUUUGUUCAUGGUUAGGAAACAUAACCAUCUUUGAUUAACAAGCUAGUCAAGUAGAGGCAUACUAGUGACACUCUGUUUGUCUAUAUAUUCACACAUGUAUUAUGUUUCCGGUUAAUACAAUUCUAGCAUGAAUAAUAAACAUUUAUCAUGAUAUAAGGAAAUAAAUAAUAACUUUAUUAUUGCCUCUAGGGCAUAUUUCCUUCACAUUUGUGUUUGGUUUUGUAGUAGUGUUGGGGGCAACAAAUCUUAUGUAAAUUACAUAACGAUUCAACAUGAGUAUAGAAGAGAAGAGAUGUUAACCCCAAGGCGCGGCUCUGUAGUAGUGCCAUGGCGCCGUGGUUGGGGGUCCGUUGUCAAUCCCCGGAACACAAUGUUAUGUAAAUCACGUAACAAUUCAACACGAGUGCAGAAGAGAAGACAUGUGGCCGCGGGUAGAAAAGAGUUACGGAGUGAUGCCAUGGGGAAUGUCAACAACAAAAUAUAGCAAGUAAAUACAAUAGAAAAAUGUAAGUCACGACAUAACUAACAAUGUUUUUAAUGUGGAUAUUUUUUCUAGUUUACGAAGUUUGAUUUUUGAAUAAAAUAGGAAAGCACCUGCAUUGUUUAAGAAAAAAAUCAUCUUUUUUUCUUUUUUUGGCAAAAAUAAAUAAAAAAUAAGGGGCGCGGAUGUUAAUGGAUGGGUCGGCAAGCGGAGAACUGGGCCACAACUAGUUGUGGAGAAGAAUAGGUUCUUGGGCCAGUCCCUCCGAGGAGAGACCGGGCCGGACUGAGCUUGCUUGUUGCCUUUAUACAACCAUCCCAGCCCGGCCGCAUCGUUGUAGAAACGCUGCUAGGUUAUUCGCCCCAAAGAAAAAGUAAACCCCAGGCGGCGGCGGCGGCGGCAAGUGGCGCCGAUGGGCAGCGGGUCGAUCUCGUCGGACAUGGAGAUGCUGAUGGAGGAGAUCAUCUCCCUGCGGAGAGAGCGGAAAGACCUCAUGGAGUCUCUUACUCCCAAGAUUUCUUGCUGGAGGGAUCAGAUCUCUGGAGCGGCAAUCUCGUCCUUCCAUAAGAUGGACUCACAGCAGCAGCAGCAGCAGGUAUACUUGACAGACGACUUCGAUAUCCUGGAGGACGUCGAGGAUUUGGGCCAGCGGAUGCUAUCUUUGGCACAUUCUCUUUCGACCUCCCAUGCCCCCAUCUCCUUGUACAAGGCGGACGAGCUGGUUAGCACAGCAUCCAAAUUAGAGAGGAUCUCGCUGGAUUUCUGCAAUUCUACCGAGGCGCCAAUGGAGGAGGCAGCCGAGGAGGAGAGGUAUAGGAUGAUGGAGAUUCGGAAGACAGAAGGAGAAGGUACUGCUGAGGAGUUGGAUGAAGAGAUGGAGAUAAAGAAGACGAAGCAGACUCGGGAGAAGAAGAUGAGGAAUGAUGAUGAGCUGAGCAAGCUUUCUCUGUCCAACGAAUUCUUGCAACUCUCCUCCAGUGUCCUGGAUAGACCCUACUGCUACAAGAAUGAGUUGGCCAUGCUGUUUACGGUGGAGGAAGAGGAGGAGUAUGAGAGGGUGAUGGAGGCGGAGAGGGAGAUGGAGAGGCAGAGGGAGAACUGCAGGCGGCGGAGAAGAAAGAAGAGGCCCCCGAAGAAGCCUCUGAUUGUGGAGGUGGAGCACGCUGCUGACGAGCAGGAAACAAAAUCUCAAACGGAGCAACUCAAGGAGUGGAUGGAUGAUGAGCUGGAAUUUUUCGCAGGCCACCGUAGCAUCUGGGAACGCUCUAGUGGCAGCAAGGCCGGGCGGUGCGGCGGCUUCGAAGAUAAAAGUAAGUAAAAUGUCCACGCUCAACUUUAUUCCAGUGUGUCAUAAGGUGCGGAUGGACAAACGGGAUGCAAAUGAGUCUGAAGAUCUGACCGUACCAUAAUAAAUAUAUGGCUUGACCUACUAAAUUCCAGUAAGAGGCAAGUUAACUAUGGGACUUGCUACAACAUAAAACUGAAUCUGCAAUAAGUCAUUUAUUUAUAGUAUUGGUCUGAUUAAAAAGUGUGAAGUAAGACCCAUUGAGUAUGGACAAUUGGGCACAGUUAAAUUAGGAAAUAAUCUGCAACUCAAGGAUACUCACAUUGUCAUAUUUAUAGUAUAGGAAAGUGUUAAAAUUUAAUUAGCCAGCUGAAGUUGCUUAGCAGCAGCUUUAAUGUGGUAUAAGGACUNNNNNNNNNNNNNNNNNNNNNNNNNNNNNNNNNNNNNNNNNNNNNNNNNNNNNNNNNNNNNNNNNNNNNNNNNNNNNNNNNNNNNNNNNNNNNNNNNNNNNNNNNNNNNNNNNNNNNNNNNNNNNNNNNNNNNNNNNNNNNNNNNNNNNNNNNNNNNNNNNNNNNNNNNNNNNNNNNNNNNNNNNNNNNNNNNNNNNNNNNNNNNNNNNNNNNNNNNNNNNNNNNNNNNNNNNNNNNNNNNNNNNNNNNNNNNNNNNNNNNNNNNNNNNNNNNNNNNNNNNNNNNNNNNNNNNNNNNNNNNNNNNNNNNNNNNNNNNNNNNNNNNNNNNNNNNNNNNNNNNNNNNNNNNNNNNNNNNNNNNNNNNNNNNNNNNNNNNNNNNNNNNNNNNNNNNNNNNNNNNNNNNNNNNNNNNNNNNNNNNNNNNNNNNNNNNNNNNNNNNNNNNNNNNNNNNNNNNNNNNNNNNNNNNNNNNNNNNNACUACUAACUCUUGAAGCAUUUCAAAAUGAAAAGUGAACUGAUGGUCUUUGUUUAAUUUGUGUUGCAGCGACAUUAAGUCCUCUCCAAUUUACGCACUGCACACCCGGUAUCCUUCUGCCCCGUGCCGCUGUCACUGAAAGAACGUUGCAAAUCUACUCAUUCAAACUUGUUGGACUAACGGAGCAGCUGAAGUGGCCACUCUGUGUUUAUGGCGUGGUUGCUGCCCGAGACACCGUAGACCGCAACCGCAACCUUCUCUUCUCUCGGUCGAGGAUCAGGGGUCAAUUACUCUCUGGACAUGUAUGUACUGUUGUAUAUUCACUUUCUCUUCAUUGUCCUCUUCUUCUUUUAAGUAAUACAUACUUCUUUGUCCUCUGUUUCUUUUAAGUAAUAUAUACUUCUUUGUCCACUGGUUCUUUUAAGUACUAUUUUUCUUCCUCUUCAGCCAAACACUAUAAUGAUGAUUUAAUCUAAUGAUUGCAGGACUCUUAUCUGCGCUUGACUGGCCCGUCUCGAGCAAUUCUAGUUGGGGAUUAUGUUGACUUUGAAGUUGAACUAAAAGUACGUGAUGGAGAUAAUGAGCACAAUGAUACACAGUUGAUGUGUGUUAGCAAGCGGUAUAAAGAAGCAGAUGGUGACGGUGAGCAACCUUUACUCUUCGAUAGCCCAUUCUGCACUGCGGAGUCGAGGUUUGAGCUUAUUCCUACGACGGUCCAGCUCACUGUAUUGUCCGUUCGUGUUGUUGGAGGGGAGUUCCCUUUUAGCUCUGGGGGUCAGGUUGCUUGUAUUGUUUCUGGCCGUGAGAGGGUUGUGCUGUUUGAUUCUACUGAAAAAAUUACUAGAGAAGACCAAGUAGUUUUGGAUGGUUAUGUUCCUUUGUCAAGAAACGCCGUUUCAGUAGAGUUCGAAAAAGGAGUGACUGUUGAGGUAACAGCCUAUGCUGAUUCUGGUUCUAUCUCUGAUCGUGUCCACUUCCCUUCCAAGUGGUGCAACAUUAGUCAGGAUAGAUGUUUCAUCUGUGGUUCUGAGGUGGAGAUUACGGUUGCAUGGUCCCGGGUUGUGAGAGACAAGAUGGAGAUGUUGCUGGAGGGAUACGCCACCCAGGUGUAGUGUGCUAUCUGUCUGUAAUCAGGAGUGGUAAUUGUAUGUUGGCAAGUAUCAACUAUAUAUAUUAUUAUUUUGUAUGUUGCCUCUAUAUUUUGUAUGUCGGCAAGUAGUAUGUAUGAAGUCUAUAUUAUAUUAUUUGACUCUUACUCCCUCCGUUCCAAAUUACUCGUCGUGGGUAAUUUGAAACGGAGGGAGUAUGUGUUAAUGAGCAGUCGUGUUGUGUGAAAUAUUCAGGAAAUAGUCUUGAAAGCCAAGUUUGCUUGUACUGACAUUAUGUUUGCUUGUUGUGUGCCAUCGCAAAUAUUCGGCUCAGCUGCUUAAUAGAAGUAUGUAAGAUUGGGAUGUCCUACAUUUAAUUUCCCACCUAGUAGCAUUGAUGCAUUGUUUGUGAAUGGUGUCCUUCACAAAUCGUAGAUCGUACGCUUUCCCAAGGAAGAAAUACAAGGUAGAGGGUCCAGUGUCGAGUCCCCCACUAUUAGGAUGGUCUGAGUUCGCAAGUCACAGCCCAAACAAAAUAAUUGGGAGUCAAUUAACAAGUUGGGAUGCAAUCCAGAUAGAUUCUGCAACUGUAGUCGUAUAGUGUUUCCUUUUCUUUUCUUUUCACAUGACGAGGUUGGUGACAGGACUAAACUGCCCUUGUAUUAGUAACAAGACUAGCCCGCCGCCCCGCGAGCCCGCUGCCGAGCUGCUGAACCCCGCGAAGUCCAGUGCCACAGCUCCAGGAAGCCGCCGCGCGCCAGCGUCCCACGAGCAGGGGGAGAAGGGCACCGCCGCUGCCACGCCCAUCGGGCUUUGUCCGCGGAGCACGCCGGCGGGGGGNNNNNNNNNNNNNNNNNNNNNNNNNNNNNNNNNNNNNNNNNNNNNNNNNNNNNNNNNNNNNNNNNNNNNNNNNNNNNNNNNNNNNNNNNNNNNNNNNNNNNNNNNNNNNNNNNNNNNNNNNNNNNNNNNNNNNNNNNNNNNNNNNNNNNNNNNNNNNNNNNNNNNNNNNNNNNNNNNNNNNNNNNNNNNNNNNNNNNNNNNNNNNNNNNNNNNNNNNNNNNNNNNNNNNNNNNNNNNNNNNNNNNNNNNNNNNNNNNNNNNNNNNNNNNNNNNNNNNNNNNNNNNNNNNNNNNNNNNNNNNNNNNNNNNNNNNNNNNNNNNNNNNNNNNNNNNNNNNNNNNNNNNNNNNNNNNNNNNNNNNNNNNNNNNNNNNNNNNNNNNNNNNNNNNNNNNNNNNNNNNNNNNNNNNNNNNNNNNNNNNNNNNNNNNNNNNNNNNNNNNNNNNNGAGCCCCAAUGCUAAUUAAUCAAGAGUCAUACUAUCAUUUGUUGCAAAAUACGUCAUGCGGAACAGAACAUCACCAAAUACUAAACCGUUUGACUUGGAUGUCAUUCAAAAUUUAGCGAUUUCAUGCGCUACCUCAUUGGCAUCUCUAUUGAUCUUCCUGGAGAAAAUUGCUACAGAAGGUGAACUAUUCCUAACGCCUCUUUCUUCAAGUCCACAAAGGCUGAUCAAAUGUCCAGGACAUGGUUAGAUAAGUAGUUCUUCAUGGAUAGACAGUCCAUUUCCAUAAUGAUAGGAUUUUGUAGAACCAAAGCAAUAUGAAGAACCGUGAGGCAAGAUUGAAGCUCUCCUUCCUCCACACUUGAACAGAAACGGUGGAAGUCCCAGGAACAAAGACUGACCACACCUCUAUGAUCACUAGCCACAACACCAUUGCUUGCACAAUGAUCAUCAGCCAGGUAGCUUGCUUCAACAUUUAGCUUAACAACGAGAAGCAACAGAGGCACGACCACCUGCUUUCAACAACAAAACACAACAUUUAGUACACAAUAUCAACAAAAACCAAACGAACGAAAAAGAAAGGAGACACACCAGAUGGCACAUCAACAUCCACCGGAACAGAAGACGGCACAGAGCAAGCAGACGAACAAGGCGACCCACGCGCCCGACGACCAAGCCGACAAAACGGACGACGAUGAGCAAGCAUAGGCCUAUCCGACAAAUCAGUAGAAGCACCACGCCGACCGGAACCACCGCGACGAACAACCGUAAGACCACGCGAACCACGAGGCCGGCCAGGACGACGCAAACCAUCACGACUGGAUAGAGGAGCAACCAUCGAGCACUAAGAGAGAAAUGGAACCACACACAACAGCACAAGAGGAAAACCUGCAUAUUUAUAGGCCCGUAUCGUGCGGCACAACUCCAGAAAGCACGCGAAACGCACACGCUCUGGAAAGAACGACCAAAGCGGCAGCGACAAGUUGCACGGCGAAAACGACAGGUUGAACACCGCGCGAGAAAUCCGGACGGCGGAAGCAAACCGCUUCACACGAUCGCCGUUGUCCAUUCAUACAACCAACUCGCUGCAUGGUUCCACUCAAAUUUCCUGUCGCUUUGCUACUGGAAGCAAGUACAGUUCUUCUAUCCUGUCCCAAUCACCGCUGUCCACGCUGCAUGGCUCCACUCAGAUUUUCCUGUCGCUUCGCUCCUGGAAGCAAGUGAAAAUCUUCUAAUCAGUCCAAUUGGUCGUUCGGCUGCAUGGUACCGCCCAUGCACCUUGUCAUCUUGCGCCUGGAUGCAAGUGCAACACCCCCGAUCAGUUCCAAUUGGUCCACCGCUUCUUGUCCACUGAGUACAUCAAUCCCACUGCAUGAUAGAACUGAUCAACCACGCGGCGACACACGAUCAGCCUGCAUGCAUGCAAGCCAGGCACGUACGUACAACGCCUCCACACAACAGCGGUGCAAAAACGAAAGGCAAAACACGAUCACGUCGAAACAAAGAAAAUCGACUGCACGUACAAACACAAGAACACAAGUAGAUUGAGACGACCCGUACAAAAAAUAUAAACACACCACCCUGCCCCACAUUGGAUAGAAAAACGCUAAACCAACCGAAAUGAACGCCACUCACGUUCAAAAAAUUUGGAACAAAACCCCAAAUCCACAAACCAUUUCUAAAUCACCAGGUACCAAAUUAAUAACACGUGUCACAUGCAUCAUUCAUCAUACAUCAUUUUCAAACAAAUGGCACAACCUUGAUGCAAAAAUUUGGCCUGGAAUAGAGGCUUGGGUAUAUCCACUCGCCGUGCACCCAUUGUUCAAUCGAUCAAUGGAAACUUCAAGUUCGCCAUAUCCGAUUGCCCGGUCGUCGUCGCCAAUCACAUCUGCAGCCGGGUGCACUGCAACCUGUCCACACCACCCGCCCGAUGACCAUCGCCACACUCUUUCUACGGUACAUUAAAAUGAUAUGAGUCAUCCAUUUCCAGUAACUCAAUGAAUUAGAUCCGCCAAUACUAGUAGAAAAAAUAAGUAGUAUAUUUUUGUUCAAGGGGUAAAAUUGGAAGACGUUACAAAAUCAGCACAGAUUCUAAGCUCCGAGGAAAUAAGAGCCGAUGGUGUGUCGAGGUUUUGCUCAGCGACUUCAUGUGGCCCGUUUGAGCGCAAUUUCAGGCAAAACGUGGCGGCCCGUCUACUUCCUUUCCAUUCAGUUUCCCUAUUAUCUGUACUCUUUUUCAAGCAUGCCUCUUUUUAAUGACUCUCUUUUUCAACUUAAUUGUGGCAUUUUAUUCUGUUAUCGACUAAUGGUUGACACUGGAGAAGCAUUGAAGGCUCCUUCCAUAGAUUCCAAAGCCCUGUUUGCUAUUAUCAGAAUAUUCUGACUCCCUUGUUGUCUUAUUGAUCUAACCAACCGCAAUAACAACAUUGCCAUUCGGGGUUACGCGAGUCGGAGUAUUAAAUAAAUGGAAUAUUCCAGUAGGAGCAACCGAACCAUCUUCUCGUUGUCCUUCCAUUCAUCGAAUUGGAUCACAGUACACCAACGAGCACAAGGUUCCCAUGGUCAGCCGCCGCUCACCGGUGUUGUUACCGACAACGACUACGCUGACCUCCCCCAGGCCACAAACCCCAGCCUUCGUCAGGCCUUCACCGAAGCUGAGCUCCCACAGGUCACCGAGGGCCCGACCGACCCUCGAUGGGCUCGGCCUCCCUAGCCUGGUCACAUCAUAUCGUCUUCUUGCUUGCGCAGCCCUUUCUCCUCCUCAUCCUACACCGCUUUCCACCACCCUGCCGCCGUCACACCUGAGGGCCACACCCCGUCAGUGUCAUCCGUUUCCACUUCUCCACAUCACCUUGUACAAACCCCCUACACUACCCCCUUUUGCUCCUCACCCUAUAUCUCCUUUCGCCACCCCGCCAUCAUUGCACCUGGUCGCCGUUCUGCCUUGUGUCAUGACGCUUCGAGGCCCUAUCCACGCACAGCAGUGGUGCGAUACAAGAUCAGCCAGGUUCCACUCGGGUUCCAUCAUGAGUUUAAUUAUUUCCUCUGAUCUAGGACUCAUUACUAUGUGUACUGUUCAACAACACCACCAAGGGAUGAUGUGUGCUUCUAACAUACAAACAAUAAUCUACCACAUUGUUGAUUUUGUAGAUUGUUUGAGAGAUCGAUGCUUUUUGGAUAAAUGCAUAGAGGAUUUGAGAUUUUCGCACAUGCCAACAUUUCCCACGAGAGUGGUGGAGUACAAGCUCAAAUGUUAUCCAAUUAAUUCUUUAUUAAUUUCCCUAUUCUAUUUUAGACCAUAACCGGGUAAUGAUUUCGUUGGGUCAUGUAUAUUUUGGGCCUUAAUAUAAAUUGUUUGAAAUUCAAAUGUGCUCCUUGAAUAGGAAAAGUUAUGGAUACCCAAUAAAUAGUUCAAUGCUAAUUGCUAUAAGCCUGAUCUACUUUACCAGAAUUACGAUCCACAUUUUAUCUGGGUAAUUUGGCUAGAAGUAAAUAAGCUUGAUCUGGGUGAUUAUCAUCCACAUUUUAUCUUGGUCAUUCUUGCAUUGGAGGCUGGUGGAGAGGUGACGGCGCAUGUGCUUUUCCUCGGUUCCAUCUGUGUCACAUGCACACCAUUGAUGGAAAUAUGCCCUAGAGGCAAUAAUAAAGUUGUUAUUAUUUUAUAUUUCCUUGUUCAUGAUAAAGGUUUAUUAUUCAUGCUAGAAUUGUAUUGACCGGAAACUUAAAUACAUGUGUGAAUACUUAAACAAAUACCAUGUCCUUAGUGAGCCUCUACUAGAUUAGCUUGUUGAUCAAAGAUGGUUAAGGUUUCGUAACCAUAGACAUGGGUUGUCAUUUUAUAACUGGAUCACAUCAUUACGAGAAUGAUGUGAUGGACAAGACCCAUCCGUUAGCUUAGCAUAUGAUCGUUCAGUUUAUUGCUACUGCUUUCUUAAUGUCAAAUACAUGUUCCUUCGACCAUGAGAUCAUGCAACUCCCGGAUACCGGAGGAAUACCUUGUGUGCUAUCAAACGUCACAACAUAACUGGAUGAUCAUAAAGAUGCUCUACAGGUAUCUCUGAAGGUGUCUAUUGAGUUGAGAUGGAUGGAGACUGGGAUUUGUCACUCGUAUGAAUGAGAGGUAUCCCUGGGCCCUCUCGAUAAUACACAUCAUAAGAAGCUUGCAAGAAAAAUGACUAAGGAGUUAGUUACGAUAUGAUUUAUUACAGAACGAGUAAAGAGACUUUCCAGUAACGAGAUUGAACUAGGUAUGGAGAUACCGACGAUCGAAUCUCGGGCAAGUAACAUACCGACCGACAAAGGGAAUUACGUAUGUUGUCAUGACGGUUCGACCGAUAAAAAUCUUUGUAGAAUAUGUAGGAACCAAUAUGGGCAUCCACGUCCCGCUAUUGGUUGUUGACCGGAGAGUCAUCUCGGUCAUGUCUACAUCAUUCUCGAACCCGUAGGGUGCGCACACUUAACGUUCGUUGACGAUAUAGUGUUAUAUGAGUUAUGUGAAUUGGUGACCGAAUGUUGUUCGGAGUCCCAGAUAAGAUCACGGACAUGACGAGGAGCUCCGGAAUGGUCUGCAGGUAAAGAUUGAUAUAUAGGACGAUACUAUUUGGUCACUAGAAAGGUUUGGAAGCGUAUCGGGUAGUCAUCGGAUCACCGGCAGGGGUUCCGGGAAGUACCGGGAGGGUAAUGGGCCUUAUGGGCCAUUAAAGGGGAGUACAGCAGCCCACAAGGGGCCGGCGCACCCCCCCUAUGGCCGCCGGCCCAUGGGAGAAAGGAAAGUAGGGGGAUUCGGCCUCCCGCUUCCUUCCCUCCUCCCCCCUUUCCUUUCCCUCUGGCACAAAUAUGGAAGGGGGGGGGCGGCUAGGGAAGGACCUCAAGAGGGAUUCGGCCUCCCCUUGGGGUGCCUCCUGGCUACCUUCCCUCUCCCCCCACCUAUAUAUAUAUGAGAAGGGGGUGCCACACAAGACCACGACAAUCUCUUAGCCAUCUGCGGCGCCCCCCUCCCCGGUUACACCCUCGGUCAUAUUUUCCGUAGUGCUCCGCGAAGCCCUGCCGAGAUAGUUGCAUCACCAUCGUCACCACGCCGCCGUGCUGUCGGAACUCAUCUACUACUUCACCCGUCUUGCUAGAUAAAGAAGGCGAGCGAUGUGUCCAAGUUGGUAAGAAGCAUAAGUCCACAUUGACCAUGGCGUCUCUCCCAUCUCUCUCCCACCUCUCCACCAGGCACCUCACUGCCGCUCAUGGCCUCCUCUAGAUCGCCAUCAUGGAGGCCUUGCUGCACUGAGACUUCAACCCCGGCCUUGCGGUCGAGGAUCAGGUUCGUCGCCGCUUCAAAUGCACGGUUCAUUUCCCACAGGCUCUACCUCCAAGGUAUUUUUCUUGGCGGUCCAUUUCUCUUCGGCUUCUUUUCCUUUGUCGUGCUCUUCGGUUGGAUUGGCCCUCCAAUGUUGCAUUGGGGGUAUUGCUUCUGGAUCAACGUGUUAGAUCUUGGUGAUCGAAGCUUUCGGUUUUCUGUGGCUUCGAAUAAAGUUGGACACUUCAUCUACGCCCUACGGAUAUAAUUUGGCCGGAUUUCGUGUGCCACUUUAGUCUUUUCAAGGAUCGUUGGUUUUCUCCUAUUAAGGGUGAUCAUGGCUGGCAUGUAGACAAGUUGAUUAAUGGUAUUUCUUCUAGAUCAUCGCCAGCGAUUAAAUCGAGCCUCAAGUUCCUUCAAAAGAGUGCUGUCAAUGACUCUUCAUCUGAACGUGAGUUAGCAAAAUUCGGGUUCUGCAAGCAGGCCACAGGAAAUCUUUUCAAUUAGUUUAAUGCUUCCAUUGAUCAGGAAGAAGGAGAGAUCUUCGAUCAUAUUCCGGUCAGUUCAAAUGUUGUUCUUCCUGAUCAUCUAACCUCACCGGUGCAACCUCUCCAGCAAUUACGAGCUCAGCUCGUGGAUCCGAAAUUUCCGGCGCAUUCGGAGCAGGAUAUUUUGCGAUUUGGUUGUUUGGGUUUCACUAUUUCCUCGGGCAUGCAAUUAAAGAAGACUGAUAUUUUCUGGGGUAAGAAUCACAAGCAAUAUUUAUGGGAUUCUAUUACUCCCUCCGUCUCAUAAUGUAAGAUUUUUUUGACACUAGUGUAGUGUUAAAAAACGUUUUAUAUUAUGGGACGGAGGGAGUACAUCGGAGGCAUUGUUUCAUAUACUUGACCUUCGGCACGCGGGAUAUUCUGACACGACUAUUAGGAAUACUCUAAAUAUUCUAGCGCUUGGUCAUGAUGCCGCUAAAUGCUCUGCUGAGAUCUGUGCCAAACCCUAUUUGGCGCUGCAGGUGCCGGUUACUAUGCGCCUGCAGGCGCGUUAGCUGGGCCGGCCCAUCUAGUUUUCUCUCUCUGUAUUUAAAACAGCAAAAACAAACUGCCGCGCUGCGCAUGAUUCGAACCCGGAGCAACCACCACGCCACCCUAACGGGAGCUGGUAAAAAGGAACUUUCUCGUUCUUUCAUUUUUCCUUUUUCCUUUCCCUUUUUCUUUUUUCUUUUAUUUCAUUUGCCAUUUUUAUUUUUCGUAUUCAGUUUUUUCUUUUUUUUUCAUUCUGGUUCGGUGAUUUGUUUGCAAAUUCGUGAACUUUUCUUUUAAUUCAUUGAUUCUUUUGAAAUUCGAUGAACUUAUUUUUCAAAUUUGUGAAUUUUUUCCAUAUCGAUUAACUUUUUUCACAGUGAUCUUUUUUGAAAAUUGAUCAACUUAUUUAUAACUUCGGUGAACUUUUUUUGAAAUGGAUGAACUUUUUUUUUUAUGUUUAUUUUCCUUCUUCCUCAUUCGAUGAAUUGUUCACAAAUACGUGAACGAUUUCUUCGAAUCGAUGAACUUGUUUUAGUAUUGGAUAAAAAAAUCAAUUUUUGAUGAACUCAAAUCGAUGAACAUUUUUUAAUUUUGAUGGACUUUUUUCAAAUUCGAUGAACUUUUUCAACUUGGACGCAUUUUUUUCAAUUUUUCUUGAACUAUUUUGUAUUUCAUGAACUUUUUUAAAAAAAUCAUGAACUUCUUCGAUCUGUGAACUUUUCUCAAACUCGUGAACUUUUUAAAAUCCUGCGACUUUUCUGAAAUUAGUGAACUUUUCCAGAUUCUAUGAACUUUUUUCAAAUUUAUGAACUUUUCCAAAUUCCAUGAACUUUUCCAAAUUCCAUGAACUUUUUUCAAAUUUUCGUGAGCUUUUUUGAAUACGUGAACCUUUUCUUUUUAAAAACAAAUUCGUUAACUUUUUCUUAAACUAUGAACUUGGAAAUUUUGGGAUAGGCGGCGACAAUUGUCCAUAAAAACUGCGUGGUUAUUUGGACUAGAAGAACACCCGUGCGUUGCAACGGGGCCACAUUAACUUUAAGAGUUCAAUAUCAAUUAUGUUAAUAUUACAUUUAAUAUUCUCAUACAUAUCAAGUGACAUUGACGACCUUUUUACCAUCAAAUUCUCACACACACUCUCUCCCUCCCUCCUCCUCACUCUCUUUCCCCCUCUCCCUCUCUCUCUCUCUCUAACACACACACAUAUAUAUCCAUCUUAUUGGGUACGGGACCAUAAUCCAUCUAUUUCACACGCACACGCGCUAGUGCAUAACAAUAUGGAUUAUAAAACAGGUUCAAGGUAGUAACAAGGAUUCUUCUCAUGCAUUAAUAAACAAAUGUUCUGCACUGAAGACAAGAUAAACAAUUCCCAAAGUGCAUCAGAGCAUCACAGAACAUUACUGGCAAGAUAAAUGCACGACGAUACACCCGACGCAUUUAAUUAAUAUAAUUAAAUUAUCAGUAAAUUAGUCACCAAACUGCUCGGAUGAACCGGAACAGAGCCAACAUAUAUCAUCCUAGACAAACGCAACAUCAACCAUUUACCUUGGUACUUUAGGGACCGACAGGAGGAUGCAUGUAGAAGCGCUUCUUGCCUGCGAAUCCACAGUCAGAGAGAGAAAUUGGAACCCAUUCCCAUCACCAACUGAUAAAGAAAGCAUGUAAGAAAAUUGAUAUCGGGCCAGCUUGGAUCUUUGGUGAUUGUCCGCCGGUAUGGAGAAUUUAGGAGGGUGGGUGCAGGGAGUGGCCUUGUGGAUGAUGGAUGGAGGCGCGGAGGGAUGUGGUCACCGGAAGGUCGAAAGCGGAGAGGGUCGGGCACGUUAGGUGGAGCCGGUGGUGCGCGACAACCGGAGGCGGCCCAAUCAUGGGCGGCGAACCGACGAUAGCCUCGGCCCAUCUCUCGACGCAGCGAAGAUAGAGAGGGCGGCACUGCCGGUGCUCGAGGCCGCCGCUCGGCACCAUCUGCAUCGAGGGGAAAGAGAGGCGAGAAAGCGAUAGGGUGAUGCGGGGCUAGGGAUUGCGGAGGAGGGUGGGGGUGUGCGAUUUGAAUGGAUGGUUCUGCCCACCGUUUUCUUAUACGUGGCGGUGGAGACGGCGGCGUCCAGCCAUGCAGGCGAGCAGAUUCCCUUAAAACUGGUAGAAAUGGAUACGAUUGAUGACGUUGAUAAAUAGUGGUGAAUGUUCGCAUAAUUUACUAUCAUCAUGCAUGGAAACGAAUCAUCAAGAAAAAGAAUACUUCCUAUUACUACACUCAUAGGAAGCUUCCUAAUCUCUGCUACCAAACAGUUUCUGCCCAAACAAGGAAGGAAAGUUAUGGACGUGAUUCGGAAGAAAACAAACGUUAUGAAGAUUAAUUAAUUUAGAUUUGAUCUUUAGAGAUUGAUUGUGAUUGAUUCUUUUACAUAAAGACAUUACUAAAUAAUUUGCGUCAAUAUGGAAAGUUCUGAUCCGUUCAGUUUUUUUCGUUGUGUGAGAGGGUGAAGUGAAAAUAAACCGAUGAAGUGGGGGAGGCGACGAAAAAAAUCUACGAUGGUUAACCUAUGAAAAAAACCGGACGAAAGUGGUGGGACGAAAAUUGACCGGCGGAGACUACCAACUGCUCCAUUAGGAGUAGAGAUUGGUUGGUUCGAUUUUUUUGCGUGGAGGGAACUACCUGGGAGGUGGGAGGGAGUACGAAAAUAAACCGUCUCGGCUGAGCGGGAGGUGGGAGCAAGUACCAAAAAAGACCGGGUGAGGUGGGACAAAAAUAAAACCCGGAACGCGACCUACCAACUGAGACAUUAGGAGUAGAGAUAUCAACAAAAGUGCAGAUCCCGUCCCACUCUUCACUUUUUGACAAAAAACUUUCGAAUAACAAUCUUGGCGAGUGAUCUCGACCGGGUUCGAUCGGCAUGGCGUGUCGUUCCUCCAGGAGUGGGUGCUGAGAGGAAGGAUGGCAAACCUCCAUUGUCAAUCGGCCGGAGCUGCAUCGUCAUUUGGAUCAGAGCAUGGACGAAAUCGAGAUUGUAGAGGUUGAGGAAUUUGUAGGACGUGAGGGUUUAGGGUGGGCAUCACGAGAACUCACCCAUAUCUUCGGAGACGGCAGACCCGAGGUGCAGUCGUGUUCGUGCUCGGCUGCCACGUGCUGCCCUCGCCGCCAUCGCCUGUUGAUGCCACUUCAGCGCCACGUGCAUGGGACUGAGGGACGAAGGGAAGAGAAGGGAAGGAAGCGAGCUAAUGACGUAUCUAUGUUUAGUAUGUAAUACCCUCCAUUAAGAGUAGAUAUUUUCUUAAAAUCGGUUAUUUUGUUUCCUAAUUAAUGUGAUUGAGCAAUUUAAGGUAAGGUUAAUUAAUUUAGAUUUGAUAUUUAGAGAUUAAUCGUGAUUGAUUCUUUCACAUAAAGACAUUACUAAAAAUAACUUGCACCAGCAUGGAAAGUUAUGAUCCGUUAAGAUUUUUUUCGUUGUGUGAGAGGGUGACGCGAAACUAAACCGGUGGGGUGGGGGAGGGACGCAAAAAAACCAGCGAAAUAAAACGGAUGGGAGGUGGGAGGAAGUACCAAAGAAGUACCAAAAAAGACCGGGUGAGGUGGGACGAAAAUAAAACCCAGAACGCAACCUACCAACUGAGACAUUAGGAGUAGAGAUGAGUAGCACGUGGUGGCUCUAUUGGUUAGUCAGGCCCACCAGGGCGCUGCUGUGAGCGCCAGUUUGGUUAGCCGGCGCUGAAUGCGCGGAUUAGGAGGUCCCAAGAUCUGUGAUAAGUGCAAAUGUUUCCUUCCAGCCUGCUUAUGUGUUUACGGAAUAAUAAUGAUCCAGUUGGAUUUCGCUGCACUAUUUGUAACUCUCUGGCCCAUGAAUCAAUCUAAUGCCCGGCUAGACUGAAAUGCUCACGGUGCUCUUUUUUAGGCCAUAAUUCCUGGAAGUGUGGAUAUGCACGUGAUUCGAGCUUCUUUUGGAAAUCUAAAUCCGACACUGUCAAGGUUACGCGGACACCAAUUUCGCAUGUAAGGAAAGUCAAGAAGGUUAAAUGGAUAUGGAAAAAUAAAAAGGAGGAUAUCUUUUCUGGUGGGAUGGUCCGUAACUUGGGGAAAACAAUCUGGCGACUCAAGCGUUCGGCUGAUACAGUUAGCGAUCUGCAUGAUUCCUAUCCUGACCCCGGACGUGCGCCACUUCCCCUGUUGGGGAUGACGCUCUGAAUCCUCAUGUUGCAAUGGUUGAAACUGCAGUAGAUGACAUAACUCUUGACGCGCACAACAGCAGGUUCAGCCUUGUCAGAAUUCAGUCCGAGGGUGAUGUACAUUUGCAUGACCUUGGUUUUGAGGGUGAUGUAUUCAUGUGGAGGAAUAAAAACCAUCGUGUUGAAGGGUACAUCCGUGAAAGACUUGAUCGUGUGGUGGCUAUCCCGGAGUGGUGUGUUCGAUUCCCAGCCUACAAAGUGAUUAAUGAUAACCCGUAGAAAUCUGACCACAGGCCAGUGAUGUUAAUGCAGGAUGGCAGCCCGCGGGUGCAGAGGGGAGAGGCUGCCACGGUUUGAAGCACGGUGGUUGCUGGAGGAGAAUUGUGAUGGCAUCGUUCAGGAGGCUUGGGAGAAGGCGAGCGAUGGCGAGGUUAGUUCCAAGCUAGCCCAGGUGCUUAAGUCUCUAGAUACGUGGAGUAGGGAGGUGCUGGGUGAUUUGCAGAAGAGGAUCAGAAAGCUCAGGGACGAGCUGGAAACUGUGCGGCGGCUCCCCAUUUCGAAAAGUCAAGUGCGUAGAGAGCAAACCGUGGCAUAUAAGUUAGAAAAGUUGGAGGAGCAGGAAGACCUAGUAUGGAGGCAGAGGGCUGGCUCAUGUAUGGGGACCGGAACACCAAGUAUUUCCAGGCUUAUGCGUCGGAAAGGAAGAAGAGGAACUGGGUACACAAGUUGAGGAGAGAUGAUGGCACGGAGGUGGUUGGAGAGAAGGGCAUCAAGGAACUACUGACUAACUAUUUUUCCAAUCUUUUUACUUCUAUGGCUGUGUGCAGACGUGGGCAAUAUUCUGCAGCAUAUAAUUAAACCCGAAGGUAACCAGCCAGAUGAAUGAGGAGCUCACUGCUGAAUUCACCGCUGAGGAAGUGAAAGCGGCUCUUGACAGCAUUGGUGAUUUGAAGGCUCCCGGCAUGGAUGGGAUUCCAGCUGUGUUUUAUAAACAUUAUUGGCACUUAAUUGGUGACUCUAUGGUAGAUGAGGUGUUGCAUGUGUUGCGAGGCGGCAGUAUGCCUAAGGGAUGGAACGACACUCUAGUAAUGCUAAUCCCAAAGGUGCAGAAUCCAGAAACUUUGAAGGAUACUCACCCUAUUAGCCUCCGUAACGUUGUGUACAAGCUUGUCUCCAAGGUGCUUGCCAACCGGCUGAAGAACAUCCUUGGCGAGGUGAUAUCCCCAAAUCAGAGUGCUUUUGUGCCCGGCCGACUGAUCUCAAACAACACCAUUCUUCCAUAUGAGAUGACACAUUUCCUAAAGAGGAAGACGACUGGGAGGGUUAACUAUGCAGCAUUGAAGCUGGAUAUGAGCAAAGCGUACGACCGUGGCGAAUGGGGUUUCCUGGAGAAGGUGAUGGUGCAGCUGGGUUUUGCACAAGAAUUUGUGAGCCUCAUCAGCAAGUGCAUCCGCACAGUCAAGUUCUGUUUCAAGGUGAAUGGGACGUGCAUGGAUCAGGUGUUACCGGGCCGUGGCCUAUGCCAGGGGGACCCCAUAUCGCCCUACCUGUUCCUCAUCUGCGCUGAAGGACAAUCGACCAUGCUCCAGCACGCUGAAGAAAUGGGUCAGUUAAGAGGGAUCCAAAUCGCACCGACGGCGCCCUCGAUUAGUCACCUACUAUUCGCAGAUGACUCCCUUCUGCUUAUGGAGGCCACACCAGAGAGCAUAGCGGUGGUGGAUAACAUUUUGAAGGUGUAUGAACUUGGCUCGGGGCAGGUGAUUAACAGGGAUAAGUCGGUUGUCCUCUUAAGUAAAAACACUCCCAAUUCGAGGAAACUGGAGCUUCUUGCUCUCCUUGGGCUGCGGUCCGGGAGCCUUCAGGGGAAGUACCUUGGCCGUCCUAGCUAUGUUGGACAAUCACGUCAGAAGUGCUUUGAGUACCUAAGGGACAUGAUUUGGGAAAUUUUGAAGGGCUGGAAAAUCAAGCUAUUAUCGAGGGCAGCGAAGGAAAUCCUCGUCAAAGCGGUCAUUCAGGCCAUUCCCGCUUACGCCAUGGCGUGCUUUGAUUUGACGAAGUCACUUUGUGAGAGCAUCAGCAAGAUGGUGGCAAAAUUCUGGUAGGCGAGUCAGGAAGAUGAUAAGAAACAUCAAUGGGUCAGUUGGGAGCAAAUGAUGCUACCAAAGGAGCAAGGCGGUCUGUGCUUCAGAGAUCCGCAUGUGUUCAAUGUGGCAAUGUUGGCCUGGCAGGUCUGGAGGCUGCUGCAGGCACCGGACUCUCUCUGCGCCCAAGUCCUAAGAGCUCUCUAUUUCCCAGUGGAGAUAUACUGACAGCAGAACCUCAGCCGGGGAUGAGCUACGUGUGGCGGAGCAUCCUGCAGGGUGUGGAGGUCGUCAGGGCUGGAAUGAUCUGGCGAAUUGGCUCGGGCUCUCAGGUCCGGAUCUGGGCGGACCCGUGGAUACCAUCAAAUGAUACUAGGAGACCGAGAACGCUACCGGGUAGGAGCCUGCUUACCACAGUGGAUGAGCUGAUCAACCCGACCACCAACAAUUGGGAUCCACAGCUUGUGCACCAGACCUUUGAUGCAGCGGAUGCGGCGACGAUCCUGGCCAUUCCUAUCUGUGAGCAGUAUGAUGACUUUGUGGCUUGGCAAUUUGACAAUAAGGGCUUAUUUUCGGUCCGAUCGGCCUACAGAGUCUAUACCAAUCUGCUCGCACACCAACAAAUCAGAAGCAAGGGAGAAAGCUCGGGCGGGUACCCGGAUGAACGCAUGUGGAAGGAGAUUUGGAAGCUGGAUUGCCCGGCCAAAGUGCAACACUUCAUGUGGCGGCUUGCGCAUGAUAGUCAUCCGACUCGGAGGAACGUGGAACGACUGGAGUGCAGCUUGAUAACAGGUGUGUGGUCUGUAAGCUUCUGCCGGAGGACGGGGGCCAUCUCUACCUCCGUUGUAAGGAGGUGAAGAAGUGUUGGCGCUCAUCCCAAUUGGAGUGGACACACCAGGCCCUGCUAGCUUGCUCGUCGGUGAAGGAGAUGGUCAGGGCCAUUCUAAAGCUCCCGUUGGUGUCCCGUAUGCGCACGGUGUGCCUGCUGUGGUUGUGGUGGACUGAAAGGAACAAAGCAAAUCAUGGGAACAAGCGGCUUUCGUAGGGCAUGUUGGGCACUUCACAAUGGAGUGGCAGGAGUACCAGGUGUCGGUGUCAAAAUCGGCGGAUCUCGGGUAGGGGGUCCCGAAAUGUGCGUCUAAGCUCGAUGGUAAUCGGAGACAGGGGACACGAUGUUUACCCAGGUUCGGGCCCUCUCUAUGGAGGUAAUACCCUACUUCCUGCUUGAUUGAUUUUGAUGAAUAUGAGUAUUACAAGAGUUGAUCUACCAUGGGAUCGUAAUGGCUAAACCCUAGAAGUCUAGCCUGUAUGACUAUGGUAAUGAGUCUCUCCUUCCGGACUAAGUCCUCUGGUUUAUAUAGACACCGGGAGGAUCUAGGGUUACACAAGGUCAGUUACAAAGAAAGGAAUCUACAUAUUUGGUCGCCAAGCUUGCCUUCCACGCCAAGGAGAGUCCCAUCCGGACGUGGGUGUAGUCUUCGGUCUUCGCAUCUUCACGGCCCAUCAGUCCGGCCCAUAGCUAACAGGCCGGAUGUAAGGGCAUAUUUAUCCCUAAGUGUUUUGGUGAUUGAUGACAAUGCCUUUGCGGACUAAUCGUGUGCCUUGAGUCCCUCAGAUACUUCAUCAUUAGGCACAAGACGAUUCGGUGCCCCUCGGAGACUGUUGAAGCCGGCGUUGUUCUACGUUUCUCUUUGGUGGAGUUGAGUCGUAGGAGAGCCGUACUAUUAAGAGGGGGUCCGCGUCGGAAAGGUUUGGGUGGAAUCAACACAUACACUUGUCCCUCCUUUCCAUGCACGUUGGAGCUGCCCUUCGUUAUCUUGGUUGUGCGAAAACUUGGCGACUACUGCUGUACUUGCGGUAGUACCGCAGGUACAAGCGGUAGUACCGCUGGGUGUCACGGUAGUACCGCCCCUCCAGAGCGGUAGUACCGCAGCACCCAGGCCUUGUGCCGCUCCGGUGCGGUAGUAGGGGCGGAUGUAAUUCUUUACAUCCGCGCCCACCACGGUAGUACCGCUCGGCCCGAGCGGUAGUACCGCGGUGGCACACGGUAGUACCGCUCCCUUGGAGUCGUAGUACCGUGGUCCUUCGACCUAGUACCGCAGAGUCACGGUAGUAGGCGCGGAUGUAAUUUUUUACAUCCGCGCCUACCACGGUAGUACCGCGCCUAGUGAGCGGUAGUACCGCGCCGGGUUUUUGCACCACCCCAGUUUCAGCGGAAGUAGGCACGGAUGUAAUUUAUUUCAUCCGCGCCCUUCCCAGGCCGUGACUCUCCCGCCUUGCGGUAGUACCGCAAGGGGGAGCGGUAGUACCGCGCUAGCGGUAGUACUGCCCCGUAGUCAGGCUAGUUCCGGCCUGUGUUGCUGCCGCGGUAGUACCGUGGUCGGCCACGGUAGUACCGCGCAGCCUCGCGGUAGUACCGCUUCCUUGGAGUGGUAGUACCGUGUGUCGCGGGCUGAACAUAUGGAUAACGGUUGGAUUUUUCCCACGACUAUAUAAGGGGUGUCUUCUACCUCUAGUUGACUACCUCUUCCACCUCUAAGCUCCAUUGUUGCUCCAAGCUCCAUUUUCGCCCGAUCUCUCUCCCUAGCCAAUCAAACUUGUUGAUUUGCUCGGGAUUGGGUGACAAGGGCCCGAUCUACACUUCCACCACAGGAUAUUUGAUUCCCCCCACUUAUCCCUUGCGGAUCUUGUUACUCUUGGGUGUUGAGCACCCUAGACGGUUGAGGUCACCUCGAAGCCAUACUCCAUUGUGGUGAAGCUUCGUGGUGUUGUUGUUGUUGGGAGCCUCCGAUCGUUGUGGAGAUUGCCCCAACCUUGCUUGUAAAGGUUCGGUCGCCGCCUUCAAGGGCACCAAUAGUGGAAUCACGGCAUCUCGCAUCGUGUGAGGGCGUGAGGAGAAUACGGUGGCCCUAGUGGCUUCUUGGGGAGCAUUGUGCCUCCACACCGCUCUAACGGAGACGUACUUCCCUUUAAAAGGAAGGAACUCCGAUAACACAUCCUCGUCUCCACCGGCUCCACUCUUGGUUAUUUCGUGCCUUUACUUUCGCAAGCUUACUUGUUGUUACAUCUCUUGCUUGCUUGCGUGCUAGUUGAUAUUGCAUCAUAUAGGUUGCUCACCUAGUUGCACAUCUAGACAACCUAUUUUGUUGCAAAGUUUAAUUUGGUAAAGAAAAGCUUAAAAAUUGUUAGUUGCCUAUUCACCCCCCCCCUCUAGUCAACCAUAUCGAUCCUUUCAAUUGGUAACAGAGCCUCGUCUCUUUAUUAAGGACUUUGCCGUCUGAAGAGUAUCGUUGACACCAACAAUGGUGUGGAGGAACACUCCGGUGUGAAUCCCGUCUCGUCUUCGGCCGAAGGGGGAACCUCGGUCUCUCGUGAGGAAUUCAAUGUGGCUCUAGACACAUUGAAAACCUCCAUGACGGCCGAGGUUAAAAGCAUGUUUAAUGAUUUUCUAGAGGGACUUAAACUAUCUACCGCGCCUAUGAAAGUGGGUGAUCCUACUAACAAGGUGUCGGAUGCUUUCUCCGACAAGGGGGAAGCUAACAAUGAAAAGAGUCCUUCUACUAGUGGUAGAAAUGGCACCGGCAUCUUUGCCCAUGUGGAACCCCCGGUUUAUGGAGGGCCAAUCCCCUCCACUCAUUUGAAUCAUGCCGGUCCACCUCCUAAAUAUGAGAAACAUGAAGAUUUUGAUAAUUGGGUCUAUCGCUUUAAGCGUCAUUUGAAACAUGUGAACACUAACCUUUGGAGAAUCAUUGAAGAAGGUUUUUAUCCUCAUGACCCAAGAAACUUCACCCCUCGAGAAGACGUGGACAAUCAAUUCAAUGAGAGUGCUCUCUUCAUCAUCCAAGAUGCAAUCCUUCCCAAAGAUCUCCCUCACCUUCGACCCCACGUCGUGGCUAAAGAAGCAUGGAAAUGUGUCGAGGGUCUCUAUCGUGGAAGUGCUAGCAUUCAACGCUCCAACUAUGAAGUGGUGUAUGAUGAAGCCGAUGAGUUUGCAAUGAAAAAAGAUGAAGAACCUCGUGAGCUCUUUCGAAGAGUGACCAAACUUGCGGUGGCACUUCGAGAUCAUGGAAGCAAGGAUACGGAUGACAAUUGGAUCAAGCGGAAGUUCCUCAAGGCCAUGAUGCCCAACAACAAAGCCAUGUCCUCCGUCAUUCGUCAACGACCGGACUUCCACACCAUGACCUCAAGUGAAGUGUUGGAUGAGUUCGUUGCAAUGAGCAUCUUGGACAAGACCGCCGACAAUGUGGUGCUCCGUUCUCAAAGAGCAAAGAAGCCUAACCUUGCUUUGAAGGCCAAGGUUAUUAUGGAAGAAGAGGAAGAAGUGGAAGAUGAGGAAAGCAACCCCGAAGACACCAAGUUUGACUACCAUGAGCACAUGGCCCUUGCUUCAAGACAAUUUUGGAGCAAGAAGAGCUCAAGACCCAACUUCAACAAGAACAACUCAAGUGGCGUCAAGGGCAAGCAACGAGUUAGAACUUGCUUCAACUGUGGCAAUGUGAGCCAUUUCGUUGCGGAUUGUCCUUACGAGAAGCGGGAAGACAAUGGUGGCAAGUUCAUUCGGAAAGACAAAGCCAAGUCCUUCCCCAACAAGAACAACUUCGCCAAGAAGACUCCCACUCGUGGGUUGGUGGUUCAAGAAGAAUACCAAGAGGAUGACGAUGAUGAUGAAAACGAAGAAGCAACGGCCAUGGCGUCCAUUGCCAUUGCUACUCCCCGGGUGUCUCUCUUCGAGUCACCCAACGAAAACAUCACUGCUAGAUGCCUCAUGGCUAAAGCUUCAAACAAGGUAACCCCCAACAUCACAACCACCAUCAUUACUAAUCCCUCCUUGGAGGAUUGCGUUGAUGAACAUGUUGAGUCUAAUGAGGAAGUGAAUGAAUUUGAGUCUUUUAUGAGUAAGCUCAAGGGAAAGUCCAAGAAGCACUUUGUUGCUCUCUUGGAACAACUUGGUGAGGCCAAUGACAUGAUCGAGGCUCACGAAGAAACCAUCUCCAAGAUGUAAGGUCAUAGUCGUGACUAUGCCGAUGAGAUAUCGGAUCUCUCUAAUGCUCUUGAGGAAGAGCGUGUGCAUCGUUUGACUCUUGAGGAGUCACACAAUGAUGACCAUGCUAAGUUAAAGAAAGAUCUUGAUCAUGCUCUUGUCAUGUCUCGUGUGCUAACCUCCGAGAAGGCUAAACUUGGGGUUGAUCAUGCUAGACUCAAAGAGGAGUUUGAGAUACUUGACAAGGCCCACAAGGUCUUGAAGGGUACUCAUGCUAGCCUCAAAGAGUCUCAUGCUCAACUCCAAGUUAAGCUAAUCAAGGAAAAGGCCACCUUUCCUCAUAUGGUAUUAAUUGAUAAUGCAUGUGCUACUAACCCUUGUUGUGAGCAUGUGCAUCUUGUGGAGGAGAAUGCCAAGUUGAAGGACCAACUUGAGAAAGGCCUUGUGACUUGCAUUCAAGGUGAGAAGAACCUCAACGACCUUUUGAGCAAUCAAAAGUAAGUUGUGGCCAAAGAAGGAAUUGGGUUUGCACCCAAGUCCAAGAGCAAGAAUAAGAAGAACAACAAGACCAAACGUCCUCCCCCUCUCAAACAAACGUUUGUGAAAGAGGGAGAGGGUGGUCCUAAGAAGAAGAAGGAGAAAGUGAAGGGAGUUGAUGUCCAAAAGGGCAAAAGCAUUUCCUCAAACAAAGCCAGCGACUUUAACCCGUCAUAUGUGUUGUGCCGUGCUAGUGAUGGACAUGUUUAUGCUAAAUUUGUUGGUUCUUCUUAUGAGUACAUUGAAUGGUCUAUUUGGGUUCCCAAGACCCUUGUUACUAACAUCAAAGGACCCAUUACUAAAUGGGUACCUAAAACCAAGCAUUGAUCUCGUGUAGGUGUUUGCUUCCGGUGGGGGAUCAUGGUUGCUCAAUAGUGGAGCAACAAAUCAUAUGACCGGGAGCAAGGACUUGGUGGUGGACGUGCAAGAGAUUCCAUCUAUGCCCACCAAUGUCGAGUGGGGUGAUGCAUCACAUUCUAAAGUAUUGGGCCUCGGCAAGGUUGUCAUUUCUCAUGAUCUAACGAUUGAGAAAGUCAUGCUUGUUGAGUCCCUUGCAUUCAAUUUACUUUCCGUUCGUCAACUUGCACUCAUGGGCUUUGCUACAUUCUUUGAUGUUGAUACCGUGGCCCUCUUGUGGAGCAAGACUCUUAAAGUAGCCUUUGUUGGGCAUGUCGAGAACGGUCUCUAUGUGGUUAACUUUUCGGAGCGACCCACUAAGACCGCGACAUGCCUAAUGGCUAAAGUUGACGUGGGAUGGCUUUGGCAUCGCCGUUUAGCCCACGUCAAUAUGAGAUCUUUGCAAAGCCUUCUCAAGGGGGACCAUGUUCGUGGACUAACAAAUGUUAGUUUUGCCAAAGAUCGUGCUUGCAGUGCUUGUAUCGAAGGAAAGCUUCAUGAAAAGGCUCACCCUCCUUCAACCAUCAUCUACUCGAAGAGACCCUUGGAGCUCCUUCACAUGGACCUCUUCGGGCCUCCAUCUUUUGAUAGUCUUGGAGGAAGGAAGUAUUGCUUGGUGAUUGUGGAUGAUUAUUCAAGAUACACUUGGGUAUACUUCUUCAAGAGGAAGAGUGAGACCCAACAAAACGUCAUCAACUUUGCAAAUGAAGCUCAACGUCAACAUGAUGCAAAGAUCUUGACAAUAAGAAGCGACAACGGCACCGAAUUCAAGAACUACACCUUGGAUGAGUUUCUUAGUGAUGAGGGAAUCAAGCAUCAAUAUGCGGCACCUUAUACCCCUCAACAAAAUGGUGUUGCGGAGAGGAAGAACUGGACGUUGAUGGAUGCGGCAAGGACCAUGAUGGCGGAAUUCAAGUCUCCGUACAACUUUUGGGCCGAAGCCAUCAACACCGCAUGUCAUGCAUCCAAUCGGCUCUAUCUUUGCAAAGGCUUGAACAAGACUCCUUAUGAGAUUCUCACCGGCAACAAGCCCAACCUCAAGUACUUCCGGGUGUUCGGUUGUAAGUGUUUCAUUCUCAAGAAAGGUGUUCGUUUGUCUAAAUUUGAGGCUAGAGAUCAUGAGGGCAUAUUUGUUGGUUAUGCUACAAACUCUCAUGCUUACCGUGUUCUCAACAAGUCCACCGGACUCAUUGAGGAGACGUGUAACGUGGAGUUUGACGAAAAUAACGGCUCCCAAGUGGAGCAAAGUGGUACUUGUGAUGUAGGUGAUGAAAUUCCUCCCCAAGCCAUAAGAAGAAUGGGUAUUGGUCAAAUCCUACCCAUUGAGGAACCCCUUGUGGCCGAAGGAGAAGGACAAUGCUCUACUCAAGUAGAGCCAUCACCUCAUCAAGACCCACACGCUUCCGAAGAACAAAGUGAAGGCCCUCAACCUCGUGAACAAAACCAAGGGCAAGAUCAACCUCAAGACGGUGAUGAAUCUCUAGAUGAUGCCCAAGGUCAAGUUCUCCCCCUUGAGCAAGUUCAAGAUCAAGAGCAACCUCAAGAUCAAGAACGAGCUCAAGGCGGCGCUCAAGAUGAUCAAGUCAACCCUCCUCCUUCCACACCCGAGGAGGAAUUAGAGCGUCGUGCCGUGAAGAUUGCUUCCAAGCUCACCACCCAAGGCCAUCUCAUGGAAAAUGUGGUUGGAAGCCUAAGAAAGGGGGUAAGCACUCGUAGACAAUUGGCAAACUAUUGUGAACAUCACGCGUUUGUCUCUUCUGUUGAACCCCAAAAGGUCUAUGAGGCGCUCGAAGACUCGGAUUGGCUCAAUGCCAUGCAUGAAGAACUCAACAACUUCGAGUACAACAAGGUGUGGAGAUUGGUGCCAAGACCAUCUGGGAACCACAACGUCAUUGGAACCAAGUGGAUCUUCAAGAACAAGUAAGAUGCUCAUGGGAACAUCAUUCGCAACAAGGCAAGAUUGGUAGCACAAGGCUACUCCCAAGUCGAGGGUAUCGACUACGGUGAAACCUUUGCUCCCAUUGCUCGUCUUGAAUCCAUUCAUUUGUUGAUUGCUUAUGAUUCCCAUCACAACUUUAAGUUGCAACAAAUGGAUGUGAAAAGUGCUUUUCUUAAUGGUCCUAUAAAUGAGUUGGUCUAUGUCAAGCAACCCCCCGGGUUCGAGGAUCCCUACUUUCCGGAUCAUGUGUAUCAACUCGAUAAGGCACUCUAUGGCCUUAAACAAGCCCCACGUGCAUGGUAUGACCACCUUACCGAGUUGUUACAAGAUCGUGGAUUUGAGGUGGGGCUAAUCAACCCCACUCUUUUUACUAAGAAGGUUAACGGGGAGUUGUUUGUAUGCCAACUAUAUGUUGAUGAUAUUAUCUUUGGUUCUCCUAACAAAGCUUUCAAUGAAGAAUUUGCCACCCUCAUGACCUCCAAGUUUAAGAUGUCUUCGAUGGGAGAGUUGAAGUUCUUUCUUGGUUUCGACAUCAAACAAAGAAGAGAAGGAACCUUCAUCAACCAAGCCAAAUACACUCAAGACAUGCUUAAAAGAUUCAAGCUAAGUGAUGUCAAGCCGGCUACUACACCAAUGCCUACCAAGUGCCAACUUGACAUCGAUCCCAAUGGUAAAGCGGUGGAUCAAAAGGUAUAUCGCUCCAUGAUUGGCUCCUUGCUUUACCUUUGUGCAUCUUGACCGGAUAUCAUGUUGAGUGUGGGGAUGUGUGCACGUUUUCAAGCCGCACCAAAGGAAAGUCACUUUGUGGCGGUCAAGCGAAUCUUUCGAUAUUUGGCUCAUACCCCAAACUUUGGCUUAUGGUACCCAAGAGGAGCAAACUUCAAGCUUGAAGGUUUCACGGAUUCCGAUUGGGCGAGAGACAAAGUGGAUAGGAAGUCCACUUCCGGAGGGUGCCAAUUUCUUGGUUGCUCUUUGGUAAGUUGGUCUUCCAAGAAGCAAAGUUGUGUGUCUCUCUCGUCCACCGAAGCGGAGUAUGUGGCGGCCGGUAGUUGUUGUGCUCAACUCCUAUGGAUGAGGCAAACUUUAAAGGAGUACGGUGUCAUUUGUGACAAAGUGCCUCUUUGGUGUGAUAUUGAAAGUGCCAUCAAGAUUUCUCUCAACCCGGUGCAACACUUCAAGACGAAGCACAUUGAGAUUCGGUAUCACUUCAUCCGGGAUCACAUUAGGCGAGGGGAGAUCGAGCUCAAGUAUGUCAACACUCAUGAUAACCUUGCAGAUAUUUUCACGAAGCCCUUGGAUUAAGCAAGAUUUCGCGAGUUAAGGCAUGAGCUAAAUAUCAUUGAUUUGAGCAAUGUGACUUGAAACCGUGCACCCCCCACCACACUCAACUUGUUGUCUCGUUUAGGUGUAGGCAUGGACAUAGGGGGAGUGUUGUUCUCUCAAUGAACUCUCCCUCCCCCCAUUAUGCAUAAAUAGAUCACCUCUUUCACAUUAGCCAUUUUUUAUGGUACUUGUGUUUCAAAGACGAGUUUUGGUCAUGGGCCCAAGGAUAAUUCUUCGCGGUGCCAUACCAUUCAACUCAAACAUAGGUGGCUUCGGCCACCGCUCUCUCUCCUCGAGAGGAUUUGUCACUUGGUGGUUUCUUGAUGUUCUUCUUGUGGUUUCGUGUGUGUGUCCUCUUCGUGCAAAGGCGUUUUUCUCUCUUGUUUGAAACCUUCGGUGUCGUGAGCUCACGGUACUACCGCGGUUGGCCACGGUAGUACCGCGGCCUGCCACGGUACUAUCACAGAUGGGAGCACGGUACUACCGUCCCCACGCGGCAGUAAUUUUUUACUGCCGCCUGGUUGAGCGGUACUACCGCCUCGGCGCGGUACUUCCGCCCGAGCGGUACUACCGCGAUGACCCGCGGUACUACCGCACCGGUUCGAGCGCGUGGGGAUAAGGACGGGUAGGGGGAGUUCUAACUCCCCAUACCCAUUCGUGUCCUCUCUCUCCACGUCGUCUCUUCCUCUCCCGUGCUCAUGAACGGAACCGGCGUUCGUCGCCGGAUCUCCUUCACCGGCUGCCCUCCCGUGAUUCCGUCCGGUGGGAUCGUUCCCCACCACGUGCUAUUGCUAUGGACCAAGGUUUUUCCCCAAAUCCCUCUCCUUUUGAUUGUAUUUGGUGCUUUUAGGUUUUGGGGGAGACUUGUGUGUUCUUGGGAUUCCUAGUCUAAAUCUCCGCAAGAGUAGGAUGAAGGAGUGUGGUAUUGCAUAGGAUUUACACUUGUAUUGUUGUCUUGCGCUAGAUCUGAUCACCGUAGCACCGCCAUGGUUUCGCGGUUCUUUUCAGAUUCAAAUCACAAGAUAGAUCUGACGUGACGCGGUACUACCGCCCGUCGGGCGCGGUACUACCGCUCGCACGGUACUACCGCCCCUCGGGAGCGGUACUACCGCGCCCUGUGCGGUACUAAGGGUCUACUACUGCUCCAGCCACGGUACUACCGUGACCUCGCACGGUACUACCGCGUCUGGAGCAGUACUAAUCUUUUAGUACCGCAAACAGUGGCAGUUCUACCGUGGCUCACUUCUGUCGCAUGCCAACUUACUCGUAUGCAUCCUAUGAGUUUCCUGUGCUAUUUCUUGGCCUUUGCAUUAAUCUUCUUCGCGUUUUUUGUUUUGGUGCUUUGCGUGUGUGUCUCAGGUGGUGGCUCUCGCCGGUCCAAUCCCAUUCGUGACACUGGCUCCAAGCGUCUGCGCAACCCAGGAGAAGUUCCAGAGGGAUCAUCUGCGUCCAAGCGCAAUGUCAAGACCGCAGCUAGCAAGCACAAGGAGCCCGCCAGGGGUAUGGAUGAGAUAGCCCCUACUGAGUAUGUCCAUCUCAGGUAGCUUCACCCCUAUGUGCACCCGCGCUCCACUGUCAGAGGCUGUGAGCUAUUCUGGAACAAGACCCAAACCCAAAUCUAUUUGGAUGUCAUCAAGAACAAGCAGAAUACCUAUGUGGAGGUGAAGUGGAUUGAUAUGCACCACAUGAGGAAGGACAAGUUCCGUGACUACUUUGGGGAGGCUCUGGACUUGGUGGAGCAGUUUGGCAUUGAGCAUGUGAUCACUUUCCACCUGGACUAUGACCCUGAGAUCAUAUGUCAGUUCUUUGCCUCUGUGUACUUUCACUCCAAUGAAGAAAGAAGGAUGACCUGGAUGACCAAUGGCCGUCAACUGUCUGCUACCUGGAAGGAGUUCAUGGAUUUGCUUCAGGUUCCUGAUGAAGGACUUAACACUCCAGUUGGUGUUCGUCCCCAUGCCAAUGCUGAUUCUGCCAACAAGGACAAGCUCACCCCGUUCAUGGUUGAGAAGACGCUUGCCAAUGACAAGACAACUUUGGUACUCAACCCCUUUCUGGAUAUCAUGUACCGCAUCUUCCGCAACUCCCUGUUUCCUCGCAUUGGUGACAAAGACAAGGUUCAUGCCUAUAUGGUGGAUAUGAUGCUCAUCUGUCAGGAGGCUCGUUCGACUCAGUCUCAGCCACUUGAUGUCUCACACAUCAUGUGGUGUGAGCUUCGGUUUGCAGUGUUCAACCGCAAGGUGCCCAUCUAUGGGCCCUAUCUGUUCCUGCUAAUUUCGAAGACUUGGGAGAAGAUGUACCCUGAGGAGGAGUUCCUUGCUCCUGGCUGGAUUCUCCAUGAGCCCAUUUGUCUUUGUAUCAAGUCUAACUGGGCCAACACCACUACUCGUGCCGAGGCGACUGCUGCUAGAGCUGCUAUUGAUGAGGAGGAUGCUGGCGCCGAGGAUGUUGCUGCGGGCCGUUCUGCUAGGCCCUCUCAGAGUGUCCCUAGGCCAUCAUGGGCCAAGAAGUUGAAGGAUAAGAUGAAGUCUCUUUUCUGCAUGCAAGCCAAGGGGCAGUACAGGGCUCACGUGGAGUCCAAGGAGAGUCGUCGCCGGCACAACAAGGUCUUGCAGCUCUAUGGCGAGGAAGUGUCUGGCGGGUCUGAGGAGCACAUCACUCCUGAGACCGAGUGGAUGGAGAAGCAAGGAUACAGGUGGACUGAUUCUGAGGAGGAUGUCGAGGAGUCCAUUCCAGCUGCAGAGGCGUCUGACGAAGAGGCUUGGGACGACUUCUCUGCUUGAGCCACCUCUUGUGUGUGUAGGUGCCCUCUCUGCCUUUUUGGCGUCUCGAUGCCAAAGGGGGAGAGAGUGUAGGGAUUUGCGAGUUUGUGAAUCGUGUGUGUCGUGUGUUUGCUGCUUUCUCAGUUGAACUCUUUGCUGUUUUUCUCGUUUGAACCUUGGUUAUCUUACUUCGUAUGGUGUAAGACAUAUGCACUCUAUCUAUCCUAGCAAGCUUGUGUUAUAUUGUGCUACCUUCAUGCUAUGCUAUGCUUAUUAUCAUGUCUUGGUCUCUAAAAUAUAGGGGGGGUGUUGAUCCUAAUUUGUGUGCCAUGUAGUCCAAAGCAUUCAUCUAAAGUGCACACAUCUAGGGGGAGCCCAUCUAUAUUUUAGAGAGGUGGGGUUUGCCCCUGCUCUAAAUUAUCUUAUCUAUGUGCAAAUCCCGUGUUGUCAUCAAUCCACCAAAAAGGGGGAGAUUGUAAGGGCAUAUUUAUCCCUAAGUGUUUUGGUGAUUGAUGACAAUGCCUUUGCGGACUAAUCGUGUGCCUUGAGUCCCUCAGAUACUUCAACAUUAGGCACAAGACGAUUCGGUGCCCCUCGGAGACUGUUGAAGCUGGCGUUGUUCUACGUUUCUCUUUGGUGGAGUUGAGUCGUAGGAGAGCCGUACUAUUAAGAGGGGGUCCGCGUCGGAAAGGUUUGGGUGGAAUCAACACGUACACUUGUCCCUCCUUUCCAUGCACUUUGGAGCUGCCCUUCGUUAUCUUGGUUGUGCGAAAACUUGGCGACUACUACUGUACUUGCGGUAGUACCGCAGGUACAAGCGGUAGUACCGCUGGGUGUCACGGUAGUACCGCCCCUCCAGAGCGGUAGUACCGUGGCACCCAGGCCUUGUGCCGCUCCGGUGCGGUAGUAGGGGCGGAUGUAAUUUUUUACAUCUGCGCCCACCACGGUAGUACCGCUCGGCCCGAGCGGUAGUACCGCGGUGGCACACGGUAGUACCGCUCCCUUGGAGUCGUAGUACCGUGGUCCUUCGACCUAGUACCGCAGAGUCACGGUAGUAGGCGCGGAUGUAAUUUUUUACAUCCGCGCCUACCACGGUAGUACCGCGCCUAGUGAGCGGUAGUACCGCGCCGGGUUUUUACACCACCCCAGUUUCAGCGGAAGUAGGCACGGAUGUAAUUUAUUUCAUCCGCACCCUUCCCAGGCCGUGACUCUCCUGCCUUGCGGUAGUACCGCAAGGGGGAGCGGUAGUACCGCGCCAGCGGUAGUACUGCCCCGUAGUCAGGCUAGUUCCGGCCUGUGUUGCUGCCGCGGUAGUACCGUGGUUGGCCACGGUAGUACCACGCAGCCUCGCGGUAGUACCGCUUCCUUGGAGCGGUAGUACCGUGCGUCGCGGGCUGAACAUAUGGAUAACGGUUGGAUUUUUCCCACGACUAUAUAAGGGGUGUCUUCUACCUCUAGUUGACUACCUCUUCCACCUCUAAGCUCCAUUGUUGCUCCAAGCUCCAUUUUCGCCCGAUCUCUCUCCCUAGCCAAUCAAACUUAUUGAUUUGCUUGGGAUUGGGUGACAAGGGCCCGAUCUACACUUCCACCACAGGAUAUUUGAUUCCCCCCACUUAUCCCUUGCGGAUCUUGUUACUCUUGGGUGUUGAGCACCCUAGACGGUUGAGGUCACCUCGAAGCCAUACUCCAUUGUGGUGAAGCUUCGUGGUGUUGUUGUUGUUGGGAGCCUCCGAUCGUUGUGGAGAUUGCCCCAACCUUGCUUGUAAAGGUUCGGUCGCCACCUUCAAGGGCACCAAUAGUGGAAUCACGGCAUCUCGCAUCGUGUGAGGGCGUGAGGAGAAUACGGUGGCCCUAGUGGCUUCUUGGGGAGCAUUGUGCCUCCACACCGCUCUAACGGAGACGUACUUCCCUUUAAAAGGAAGGAACUCCGGUAACACAUCCUCGUCUCCACCGGCUCCACUCUUGGUUAUUUUGUGCCUUUACUUUCGCAAGCUUACUUGUUGUUACAUCUCUUGCUUGCUUGCGUGCUAGUUGAUAUUGCAUCAUAUAGGUUGCUCACCUAGUUGCACAUCUAGACAACCUAUUUUGUUGCAAAGUUUAAUUUGGUAAAGAAAAGCUUAAAAAUUGUUAGUUGCCUAUUCACCGCCCCCCCCCUCUAGUCAACCAUAUCGAUCCUUUCACCGGACACUUGAGGACCCCUUAGUCCAGGACUCCCUCAGUAGCCCCUGAACCUGACUUCAAUGACAAGGUAUCCGGCGCGUAGAUCUGUCUUCGGCAUUGCAAGGCGGGUUCCUCCUUCCGAACUGUACCCGAAGUAGUCUUCGGACGUAUCGAUGUGUCCGGAUCUGUAACACACACCCCCCACACAACCGUAGGGAGAAUAUAAUAUUUCAUGAAUCCAAUCUGCUGACAACUUUUACAACAUGACAUCAUGUCCACCCGGUCAAAACUUUGAACCGUUUUCGUCUGCCGCUCCACGUUUUGAGACGCGGUUGCCAUUGGCACGUCUUGUCAAAGCAGAGAUUGUGUCCCCUUAUUGCGGGACUCUCAUCAAUACGGGCGUGGGUAACCCAACCGUGCCAUUUACACAGCCCUUGGAAAUAGGCGAGUUCGAGGCAAAUGGGGAGGCGUUCAAUAUUCACUGCCUUUAUAAGGGGAUAAGGAUUCCCUUCUUCUUCCACGCCUUCUCUCUUUCUCCGUCCUUCCAAUCUUAAGCUCCAGCGCCCAAGUUUCCAUCUUCUUCUCACUCAAGCUAGCACCCAACCAUGUCCGGAUACCAAUGUCAGGGCAAGUGGAUGGUCUCCUCCGUUAAGGAGAAGGAUAUUACUGAGCUUCGAGCGGCCGGGUAUUUGGCGAAGGAAAUCGCCCACCGCCUUCUAGCCUAGGGGCAAAUCAUCCCCAUGCUGAAGCCAACGAGAGGGUGGUAUUCAUCCCUCAUUUCCUCCGUGGGCUAGGGUUUCCUCUUCACCCUUUCGUCCGCGGGUUGAUGUACUAUUACGGGAUAGACUUCCAUGAUCUAUCUCCGAACUCCUUCCUCAACAUCUCGGCGUUCAUCAUCGUGUGUGAGGCCUUCCUCCGCAUCCAACCCCACUUCGGGCUGUGGCUCAAGGUCUUCAACGUGAAGCCGAAUGUGGUGGAUGGCCAGCACGCGGAGUGCGGAGGAGCUAUGGUGAGUAAGCUGUGCAAUGUCUCCUGGCCGAAAGGCACUUUCGUGGAGACCGUCAAGGAAUGGCAGAAACAAUGGUUCUACAUUACAGAACCCCGCGGCACCAACUGGGCCGCAGCUGCCAAAUUCAACCCCGGUGCCCCAAUGCGGCUCACCUCCUAGGUCGAGAAGAGACUGAACUGGUGUUCGCCAGACGAGCUGAUAGCGCUACAGACGCGCGUUCAAAGCAUGGUGGACAAGGAUGUCAAACUUGUUGACAUAAUCUAGGUGAUGCUAGUUCGCCGGAUUCUCCUGUGCCAAAGCCGAAGCCCCCCUCUAUGGAAGUUCAAUCCGAAGAAGCACCAUACCCUGAAGAGGCUCUUCGAGACCACUCACGAAGGUGCUUGGAAGUUGCUCUUUAAGGGCAACGAGAAACCGCCGGCCACAGAUUCAGACCGUGGGCACGACAUUAACCACCUCACCAGCGAGGUAUGUUAUUUUUAACGCAUCCCCUACUUGCCUGUUUCGAGGAUGAUGUCUGAGCCUUUAUCAUUGCCUCUUCAAGACUGGAUGGAGAGGGCGAAGCGGAUCCAGUGUGCGGCUCUGCUGCCUGAAGAACCAGUCAUCCCGCGUUUAGCGAAGAUGUUGGUGCCGGCACCCUAUAAGGCGCCGGAGAAGAAGGCCAAGAAGAAGGCCAAGGGGCCAAGAGUGGCCCCCGUCGCAAGGGCGCUUCGGACGUGACGUCCGAAGACGAAGAGACCCAUUCCUCCAUCCCUGAGAACAACGACGAGGAAGAGGAGGAGGAGAAGGAGAACAACCCUCCCCCUGAGGAGGGAAAGAAGAAGAGGGCACUACAAAAAAAAGACACAUCCGUGACAUUUUGGGCCGAACGAAUUUUUUUUCUGUCAUACUUAUGACACUUCUAUGACGAUAAUUGUGACAAAACCCGGUAUCAUCAUAGAUGUGGUGGGGUCCUACUUAUAUGACAAAAAAUCAUGACAGAAAAUGGGAUUUUCGUCCUGGGCGGGCCGGAUACGCAGCUGCAUGACAUUCUUUGGGUCGUCCAUGACGGAAAAAACUGUGGUAGAAGCGAGGGCGAGGAAAACAUUGAGGUGUUCCCGGUUACAGUGGGUUGUCGGGGCCGAGCGAUGCGCAUUUCUCUCAUACACGUACGCGCGUGGGUGCGAGGCGUUGGGCUCUAACUGAACCCGAGCAUUUGCACUACAGGCUACGCGUUACUGAACCCGAGCGAUCGAUCGAUGGCUGUUAACUAAACCCGAUCGAGCGAUUCCGUCGCUACUGCUGCUAACUGAAGCUGAUCGAUGCUGCCUCUGGAUGAACAGUGAGCAUUGCUGGGGGUUUGGAUGAACAGUUCCCGGUGGGGGUGGAUGAAUAGGACCCCGUGGUGUUGCCUCUGGAUGAACAGGACCCUGAUCGAUCGAGCCGGUUGGGGCUGGAUGAACAUGACCCCGUGGAUGGCAGGAUGAACAGGAGCACCCCGUGGAGGGCUGGAUGAACAGUAGACGGUGGAGGGCUGGAUGAACAGUAGCCCGUGGAGGGGUGGUUGAACAAGAGCCCGUGGAGAGGGUUGGUUGAACAGUAGCCGGUGGAGUAGCGCACGGUGGAGGCUGGAUGAACAAGAGCUCGUGGAUGAACAGUAGCCCGCGGAGGCUGGAGGGGGUCGACGGUGGAGAUGAACAAUAUCCCGUGGAGUCCCAUUUUGCGGUAUGCCACACCCCUUCCGAUGAACAGGACCCCCGUUUCGACCGUAGCGCUCCAACACAAGUCCGUUUCCUCCGUUUUGCGGUACGCCACACCCCUCCCGAUCAAUAGGACCCCCGUUUCGACCGUAGGAGGUCUGUUUCCUCCGUUGUGCGGUAUACCAGACCCCUCCCGAUGAACAGGAUCCCGUUUUAAAUGUGGCCGGUCGAACACAAGGCCAUUUCCUCUCUUCAGUACACCAGGCCUCGUUUCCAUUGGUUGUUCCGUCCAAGCCCUCCCGAUGAACACGACGACGCAUUCCGUUCCGACCAAGGUUGGAAAAAGCGUUAGGCGUAAGCAAGGCGGUUGGCCUUCGCCUAGUGCCUAGGCGGUGCUUAAGCGCCCCAGGCGCAGCCUAGGUGGUAAUGUAGAUUCUAUAAUCAGGGUAUAUUUGUGGUUAUUAUAUGUGCAUUGAUGUUAAUUUAGGGAAGAUAAAUAAGUUAACUACCAUCUACUACCAUUUGAAUAUGUGAUGUUUGGCAUUUCAGUGCAAUAUGACAUGAUUUCUCGCUUGGGUAAACAAUUUGUUGCAUGCACUGCCUAGACUACCAUUUAUGCCCUAAGCGAGGCGUUUGGCCAUCGCCUAGCGCCUAGGCGUGUCUAAGCGCCUCCUAGGCACUGCCUUUUGCAACAGUGGUUCCGACCCAGCCGGUUGGCUCCCCAUGAACACGACGACGACGCUGUUUCUCCAUUCCGACCCAGCCAUGUACACGAGCCCUGGACGUACGUACGCGCGAGUAGGCAUUCGAGACCCCGCCCGUAUGUACGUAUGUGGCCGUAUUUACUUUCUUGCACCCUGGCCGUUGUACGUAUGUGUACAUGCUACGUGCGCGCCUCUACUACGAUACGUACGCGCCUCUACAUCGAACAGUAUGUACGUACACGUUCGCGACCAGAAUGACAACGCUACGUACGCUUCGACCAGGUGGGUCCCGACUGUCAGGCACUUCCUUGCAUGCGAAGAUGUAGCUGGUGGGUCCCAGCAGUCAGGGGGGAAUCUCUUUUUUGCCCGUACGCACGUCCUUGCGUGCAAAGAUGUAGCUGGUGGGUCCCAGCAGUCAGGGGGAAACGUUUUUUUGUGAAAUACGGUGGCCCGUCCGGUGGGUCCCCGCUGUCAGGUGGAGGAAUAAUUAUUUUGCACGUAAUAAGGAGGCACUUCCUUGCUGCGGCCGUGGACCCAGAUGUCAGCCUCUCCACGUACAAUCCACGUCCGAUGGAAGCCGUUCCUUGACCACGUUGACUAUGCCGCGCCAAGAGCACCAGGGCGGUGGACGACGGCGAGUCCUAGGAAGGGGACGACGCGGAGCCAGGGAAGAUGCGGUAGUGGAUGCCCAUGCAUAGAGGAGUACGAGGGUUCACUAGUUCGCUGCAGUGUGAGGCUGCCGUCGCCGCAGAAUAACAGGGGGUGUGGAUGAGUAGAGGGAUGGCAUGGCCAGCGGUGGGAAUAGUAGGAGGCGGUGAGGCCUCCGCGGCAGCACAGCCGGCCACGGGAGGCAGGAGCAUGCGGCACGACCGGCGCUGCUUUGGGCGGCUGGAGCAACAAGACUAGAGGUUGAAGAUGCACUACGGCCGUUGGAUGGACAUCGUACGGUCACUGGAGCUAGAAUCGUUCAUAUUGACUAAGUUGACAAAGCACUCCGUCCCCGUCAACUUAGUAGGCCCACAAGUCAGCCUCCCACCAAGGUGGGUCCCAAGCAACAGGGGGAGUAUUCAUUUUUUUGUGCGUAAUAAGGAGGCACUUCCGGUGGGUCCGAGCUGACAGCGGAGGGAACGUUUUUUUCGUGCAAUACGGUGGCCCGUCCGGUGGGUCCCAGCAGUCAGGGGGGAAACAUUUUUUUCAUGAAAUACGGUGGCCCGUCCGGUGGGUCCCUGCUGUUAAGUGGAGGAAUCAUUAUUUUCCGCGUGAUAAGGAGGCACUUCCUUGCUGCUGCCGUGGACCCAGCUAUCAGCCUCUCCACGUACAGUCCACGUCCGAUGGAAGUCGUUCCUUGACCACAUUGACCAUGCCGCGCCGAGAGCACCAGGGCGGUGGACGACGGCGAGGCCUAGGAAGGGGACGACGCGGAGUCGGGGAAGAUGCGGCAGCGGAAGCCCGCGCGGAGAGGAGUACGAGGGUUCACUGGUUCAGCUGUGGUGUGAGACUGUCGUCGCCGCGGAAUAACAGGGGGUGUGGGUGAGUAGAGGGAUGGCCUGGCCAGCGGUGGGAGUAGUAGGGGGCGGUGAGGCCUCCGCGGCAUCACAGCCGGCCAUGGGAGGCAGGAGCACUCGGCACGACCGGUGCUGCUUUGGGCGGCUGGAGCAAGAAGACCAGAAGUUGAAGAAGCACUACGGCCGUUGGAUGGACAUCGUACGGUCACUAGAGCUAGAAUCGUGACUAAGUUGACAAAGCCCUUGGUACGCGUCAACUUAGUAGGCCCACAGGCCAGCCUCCGAAACGGUGCGCCCCAGAUGUCAGGGGGAGGAAUCAUUUUUUGGGCGGCUGAAGGAUGAAUAUCCGAGAUUGAAGAAGAAGCAUGACAUCCGUUGGAUUGACAUCCAACGGCCACAGCUGCCAGAACCGUGUGUUGUUGACAAAGCCUUGCAUACGCGUCAACUUAAUUUUUUAGGGGACGCGUCAACUUGCAGAGAACAUAUAGCCCAUUUGCGAUUUGUAAGAAUGUACAACCCAUUUUUUAAUUCUAAUGGAAUUUAGUACAGCCCAUUUACAGUUUGUUAAAAGUACAGCCCAUUUUCUAGCUAGGACAACGAUUAAUAAUUUCAACCAACCGCUCAAAACAGAAUUCAAAAAAAAUUCCCACAUUUUUAUGGGAUCCGAAAUAUUUUUAUCCGAAAUUUCUAGUCAGAUUAAAUAUAAUUUCAAAAUAAAGUUGUAUUAUGUUAAAAUCCAACGAAAUAUUACGCGCGCAACUAGUAAUGAAAUUAAAAUUUUCAAAUUCCGAAAAUAAUAUAUUUUUUAAACUAAUUACGCGUUUAGUGCAUUUUUUUAGUUACUGCCUAGUUAUUAUAAUUACAUCCCAUUUAUUAUUUAUUGAAGUCCAUUUUCUUGUUAAGCCUAAUGCAUACUUCCUAGGAAAGUUUGCAGCCCAGCUGGACGGAGAACAAGUUGACCCGGAUAUUGUGUACAACUGUCGGCCCAGUUGCAUUGCUGAUGUUGAAAAAAAGGCCUGUGUAGUACAGUACAACCUAACAUGGCUACUCAGCCCACAUUCAGCGACGCCGGAAAGGCCCAAACAAGGCUUCUGUACAACUUUUUGAAGUCACUGAGCUCAAUUAAUAACUUAAGAAAAAAGUUAGAUUACAGUGAAACCUAAUUAAAAGCUGUCACGGGCAAAGAAAUAAUUCAACGGGUCCCACUUGUGCGUGUGUGUGUGUCUGCGUGUGUGUGUGUGUGUGAGAGAGAGAGAGAGAGAGAGAGAGACCCAUCGGUCGAUGCUCGUAAAUACAUCUUUCAGCCAUAUGCAUUGUUGAUGCUCAGUAAAAACUUAUAUAGUUGACACAAUCAUAUAGAACAUCAUAGCACACUAAACUUGCAUACAAAAAUUUCACGCAGGCGGCACAAUCAGGAUGGACGCAGUGGAUCGCUACGGGUAGGGCUAUGUUGAAACCAACGAACUCGUACAUAACGGUUCAUCGUCUUUAUCAAUGAGAGGGAAAUAUCUUGAAUGUUGUGCAAAGAAAACAGACAGACAACACAAUAAGUUCUGCUAGCACAUUAAGUUGACGUACAACCCUUUCUAAAAAAGUUCAGGUACAAAAUUAGAACAGGUCACAAUCAAAUGUACUGGCACAUUAGUGCUUCACACCCAUAGCUCGGAUUUAACUACUAUCUGACAAGAUUCAGUUAUUACCUCAAAUUAGAGCACAUCCAGGCAGCCAGCCCUGCCUCUUCUCCCAAAGAAGCAGUUGAUACGGGAGGCUGGUCGCCGUUGAUGGUUACCAUCAGCACUUUGCUGGCAAACUGGUCGUCAAACGCUGCCAUGCCACUGUUGAGCGACGGCACACAGCGACCGAAGGCAGGACGGACCUCAGGAUCUCCGGCUCGAAGAUCCGCAUUGACCGGCGACAUGAUAGUGAGCUUGAGUACAGGGAGUACAAGAGGGGGAUUUGGGGGAACUCGAGUAGGAAUCGAGAUUCCAGAUGUGGGGGAGGGGCGGGAAAUUGGGGAUGAAAAGGUACCUUGAAUUUCGAACACGCGCCAAUAUGCUCUCGGCGCGCAAGCGCACGAAAACACCGGUGGCACCCACAUGUCUGCCUAAGAGUCCUUAUUUUUCUUUUUUGGAGAGCCCAGCCUUUUUUAGGAUCUUUUGAGAGCCCGGCCUGAUAGUCAUAAUUGACCUGUUUGGCAUUGCGUUACUACUCGGCCCAUAUUCAACGACACCUCACUGGCCCAAACAAGUGUACAUCAUCGAAAAGACACUGAGCUCAAAUUAUAUAACUUGAAAAAAGGAGAUACACUCUGAACACUGGAGAAUGGUGAUGCCCUCUGAGGGAGUCCUGAAUUAGGGGGUCCUCGGACAGCCGGACUAUAUCCUUUGGCCGGACUGUUGGACUAUGAAGAUACAAGAUUGAAGACUUCGUCCCGUGUCCGGAUGGGACUCUCCUUGGCAUGGAAGGCAAGCUUGGCAAUACGGAUGUGUGGAUGUCCUCCCUUGUAACCGACUCUGUGUAACCUUAGCCCCCUCUGGUGUCUAUAGAAAGUUUCUGUUUUUUACAGCACGAUCAUAUAAACUUCACCCAAGUCUUCCCAAAGGUUCUCUUGGCACAAACACUAAUUAAAGCAUAAAACCACAUCUAAACAGAAGCUAGAUGGAUUAUUUAUUACUAAACAGAACCAAAAAGUAAGAAACAAAAUAAAAUUGGGUUGCCUCCCAACAAGCGCUAUCGUUUAACGCCCCUAGCUAGGCAUGAUGAUUUCAAUGAUGCUCACAUAAAAGAUAAGAAUUGAAACAUAAUGGGAGCAUCAUGAAGCAUAUGACUAGCAUAUUUAAGUCUAACCCACUUCCUAUGCAUAGGUAUUUUGUGAGCAAAAAACUUAUGGGAACAAUAAUCAAUUAGCAUAGGAAGGCUAAACAAGCAUAACUUCAAAAUUUUAAGCACAUAGAGAGGAAACUUGACAUUCUUGCAAUUCCUACAAGCAUAUGUUCCUCCAUCAUAAUAAUUUUCAGUAGCAUCAUGAAUGAAUUCAACAAUAUAACCAGCACCUAAAGCAUUCUUUUCAUGAUCCACUUGCAUAGAAAAUUUACUACUUCCCACAUAAGCAAAAUUCUUCUCAUUCGGAAUAGUGGGAGUAUCAUAAGAGACUUGAAUACUAUAAAUUGUUUGCAUAUUAAAAGAGUAAUGUUCAGAAAAAGGGUAAUCAUAAUCAUGACAAGUUUUAUAAAUAUAAUCAUCACUACUUUUUAUAGCAUAAGUUUCAUCACAAUAAUCAUCAUAAGUAGCAACUUUGUUCUCAUCAUAAUCGAUUGAAACCUCUUCAAAGAUAGUGGACUCAUCACUAAAUAAAGUCAUGACCUCUCCAAAUCCACUUUCAUAAAUAUUAUAAGAUUCAACAUCCUCCAAAAUAGUGGGAUCACUACUCCCUAAAGUUGACACUCUUCCAAACCCACUUUCAUCAAUAUAAUCAUCAUAGGUAGAAGGCAUGCUAUCAUCAUAACUUUGCAUAUCAAAACUUGGGAGACUAAAAGUAUCAUCUUCACUAAACAUAGCAUCCCCAAGCUUGGGACAAACAUUAAUUGCAGAAAAUAUAUCCUCAAAAACACCAUCUUCAUCAAACAUAGCAUCCCCAAGCUUGGGCCUUUUCAUAUCAUAAGCAUAAUCAAUCUCAUCAUUAAUAGUAUGGAUAGCACCAAUAGUAUAGCAAUUAUCAUAUUCUUCCAAGCAAGUGCCAAAAAGAUUUUCAAGAUCAUAAGAAGUAUCAUUAUAUUCCCAAUCAUAAUCAUCACAACAAGCAAUAGGCAUAACGAGGUCAUCAUCAAGUGCAUCAUCUUCAUUUUCAUGAGGCACAACAAUAAUAGCAGAAACAUUAUUUUGGAGAGAUAUCUUUUUACCUCUCCUACUUUUUCUUUUCUUCUUCUUCUCCACAUCAUGUGUGGGUUCAAUCCUCUUUUUGGAGCUCCUUAUUAAUGAGAUUGGUUGAACAGAAGGCUCCUCCUCGUUACCUGAUUCAUCAUAAGAAAUAAUAGGAGAAUAUUGGGAAGUCUCUUCCCUUUCAUUAGUAUUCUCUUCAUCUUCUAUUUGUUUUCUUUUCUUUACGUAAUUGGAAAUAUAGGGAUUUUCAAUGCAAUUCACCGCACAAUACAUAUAAAUUUCUUCUAGAUCAAAACCAAGAAGUUUAUAACGGGCAAAUUCUGGAAGAUGCUUAGUUAUACGUUUCAUUUCUUCGUGACCCAUAAGCAAACUAAGUUCAUUAUAAUGUGCAAGGGAAAUUAAGUCAUCACAAUUUUUGGGCACGAUUAGAUCAUGAAACAAUUUGCAUCGGAUAGUUAAAUGACCCUGUUCAUUGCAAAGUUCACAAGUAUGGCCAAGAAAAUUUAAAUUUUCACCACAAACAUCUAGCCUUUCUUGCAACAAUUUAGUUUCUAAAUGCUUAUGCCUCUUGCAAUGUCUAUCUUCCCUAUUUGGUGUGUACUUGCAAACCCAAUGCACUCCACAAAUUGACAUGUUUAUAGGAGACAUUUUCAUCGUAACUAGUGCAAUCAUCAUUAGUACUAUGGAUAUUCAAAGAGUUCAUACUAACAACAUUGCAACCAUGCUCAUCAUUCAAAGAUUUAGUGCAAAAUAUUUUAAUGCAUUCUUCUUCUAAUACUUUGGCACAAUUUUCUUUUCCAUCAUACUCACGAAAGAUAUUAAAAAGAUGAAGCAUAUGAGGCAAACUCAAUUCCAUUUUUUUGUAGUUUUCUUUUAUAAACUAAACUAGUGCUAAAACAAGAAACAAAAAGAUUCGAUUGCAAGAUCUAAAGAUAUACCUUCAAGCACUCACCUCCCCGGCAACGGCGCCAGAAAAGAGCUUAGUUGAUGGGGUGUGAGUGCCGCUUACCUAGCCUCCCCGGCAACAGCGCCAGAAAAUGCUUAGUUGACGGGGUGUGAGUGCCGCUUUCCUCGCCUCCCCGGCAAAGGCGCCAGAAAAGAGCUUAGUUGACGGGGUGUGAGUGUCGCUUUCCUCGCCUCCCUGGCAACGGCGCCAGAAAAGAGCUUGAUGUCUACUACGCAACCUUCUUCUUGUAGACGUUGUUGGGCCUCCAAGUGUAGAGGUUUGUAGGACAGUAGCAAAUUUCCCUCAAGUGGAUGACCUAAGGUUUAUCAAUCGGGAGGCGUAGGAUGAAGAUGGUAUCUCUCAAGCAACCAUGCAACCAAAUAACAAAGAGUCUCUUGUGUCCCCAACACACCCAAUACAAUGGUAAACUGUAUAGGUGCACUAGUUCGGCGAAGAGAUGGUGAUACAACUGCAAUAUGGAUAGCAGAUAUAGGUUUUUGUAAUCUGAAAAUAUAAAAACAGCAAGGUAACAAGUGGUAAAAGUGAGCGUAAAUGGUAUUGCAAUGCUAGGAAACAAGGCCUAAGGUUCAUACUUUCACUAGUGCAAGUUCUCUCAACAAUAAUAACAUAAUUGGAUCAUAUAACUAUCCCUCAACAUGCAACAAAGAGUCACUCCAAAGUCACUAAUAGCGGAGAACAAUCGAAGAGAUUAUUGUAGGGUACGAAACCACCUCAAAGUUAUUCUUUCCGAUCUAUCCAUUGGGCUAUUCCUAUAAGUGACACAAACAGCCCUAGAGUUCGUAGUAAAAUAACACCUUAAGACACACAUCAACCAAAACCCUAAUGUCACCUAGAUACUCCAAUGUCACCUCAAGUAUCCGUGGGUAUGAUUAUGCGAUAUGCAUCACACAAUCUCAGAUUCAUCUAUUCAACCAACACAUAGAACCUCAAAGAGUGCCCCAAAGUUUCUACCGGAGAGUCAGGACGAAAACGUGUGCCAACCCCUAUGCAUAGGUUCAUGGGCGGAACCCGCAAGUUGAUCACCAAAACAUACAUCAAGUGAAUCAAUAGAAUAACCCAUUGUCACUACGGUUAUCCCACGCAAGACAUACAUCAAGUGUUCUCAAAUCAUUAAAAGACUCAAUCCGAUAAGAUAACUUCAUAGGGGAAACUCAAUCCAUUACAAGAGAGUAGAGGGGGAGAAACGUCAUAAGAUCCAACUAUAAUAGCAAAGCUCACGAUACAUCAAGAUCGUACCACCUCAAGAACACGAGAGAGAGAGAGAGAGGGAGAGAGAUCAAACACAUAGCUACUGGUACAUACCCUCAGCCUCGAGGGUGAACUACUCCCUCCUCGUCAUGGAGAGCGCCAGGAUGAUGAAGAUGGCCACCGGUGAGGGAUCCCCCCCUUCUGGCAGGGUGUCGGAAUGGGCUCCCGAGAGGUUUUUGGUGGCUAUAGAGGCUUGCGGCGGUGGAACUCCCGAUCUAUUCUCGCUUCGAUGUUUUUAGGGUAUAUAGAGAUAUAUAGGCAAAAGAAGUCGGUCAGGGGUGCCACGAGGGGCCCACGAGACAGGGGGCACGCCCUCCUACCUCCUGGCCUCCUCGAAGCUUCCCUGGCUUGUACUCCAAGUCUCCCAGAUCAUGUUCGUUCCAAAAAUAACGCUCCCGAAUGUUUCAUUCCGUUUGGACUCCGUUUGAUAUUCCUUUUCUUCGAAACACUGAAAUAGGCAAGAAAACAGCAAUAUGGGCUGGUGAGGGAGUCCUGGAUUAGGGGGUAUCCGGACAGCCGGACUGUGUGCAAUGUCCGGACUAUUGAAGCGUGAAGAUACAAGACUCAAGACUUCGGCCCGUGUCCAAAUGGGACUUUCCUUGGCGUGGAAGGCAAGCUUGGCGAUCCGGAUAUUAUAUUUCCUUCCUUGUAACUGACUCCAUGUAAACCCUAGCCCUCUCCGGCAUCUAUAUAAACCGGAGAGGUUGGUCCUUAGAAGGCCGAUCACAAUUACAAUCAUACCAUCAUAGGCUAGCUCUUAGGGUUUAGCCUCUACGAUCUCGUGGUAGAUCUACUCUUGUACUACCCAUAUCAUCAAUAUUAAUCAAGCAGGAAAUAGGGUUUUACCUCCAUCGAGAGGGCCUGAACCUGGGUAAACAUCUGUGUCCCUUGCUUCCUGUUACCAUCAGCCUUGACGCAUAGAUCAGGACCUCCUACCCGAGAUCCGUCGGUUUUGACACUGACAUUGGUGCUUUCAUUGAGAGUUCCUCUGUGUCAUCGCUGUCAGGCUCGAUGGCUCCUUUAAUCAUCAUCAAUGACGAUGUCCAGGGCGAGACUUUCCUCCCCGGAAAGAUCUUCGUGUUCGGCGGCUUCGCACUGCGGGCCAACUCGCUUGGCCAUCUGGAGCAGAUCGACAGCUACGCCACUGGCCACCAGAUCAGGUUCGAAACCUGAACUAUACGGCGGACAUCCGCGGAGACAUGAUCUUCGAUGGAUUUGGGCCUAUGCCAGGAGCACCGAACAGUCACGACGAGCAUGGCUUAGACCUGCCGUCAGACGAAGCUCGGGGUAUCAGCCCCGUAGUAUCCCCGGACCUAAAUCUGGAGCGGGCUGCACUGCCUAAGGACGGAGGGAUGGACCCCGCCCCGCGGGUCGCGCACUCAUCGGCGAUGGAGCCGAACACGGGUCUUACCUCUGUGGUGACCUGUGACUCCGGACCCCUGGAGUUGUAUCCAGACGAGGGUUCCAGUCCGCGCACUCCCGAGCCAGCCGAGCCAGGUUGGGCUCCGGUAAUGGAGUUCACCGCUGCGGAUAUCUUCCAGCACUCGCCCUUUGGCGACAUGCUAGACUCAUUAAAGUCUCUCUCUUUGUCAGGAGGCUCGGGGCCGAACUAUGUCCGGCUCGAGUGGGAAGCAGGCGAUGAAGGAAUUCGUUGCCCACCCACCACCCACUUCAUUUGCCACGGUCGAUGAUUUAACUGAGGUACUGGACUUCGACUCCGAAGACAUUGACGGUAUGGACGACGAUGCAGGAGAAGAACAUGAACCACCGCUCACUGGGCGGUGGACAGCCACCUCUUCUUAUGAUAUAUAUAUAUAUAUAUAUAUAUAUAUAUAUAUAUAUAUAUAUAUAUAUAUAUAUAUAUAUGUGUAUGUAUGUAUAUAUAUAUAUGCUGGACACUCCGAAGGAAACAAAUGGUGAUGAGGCAACGGAGGAUAAAACCUCAGGGAAAAAAGCAAAGAAUGGGCGGCGUCGGCGCCACUCCAAGCCUCGCCACACCAAUACCGGCCCAGGAGACGAAAAUAAUCCGAAUGGUGCCGAAGAAGAAUACAACCCUGAUCAGCCCGCCUUCGAGCAGGCCGAACAGGAGGAUGAGCAGGUCAGCCCAGAAGAACAGGCGACAGAGGAAUACCCGGAGGAGGACAGCUACAUGCCCCCCUCCGAAGACGAGAUUAGCCUCGGCGACGACGAGUUUGGCGUGCCUGAGGAUCCCGUAGAGUAGGAGCGCUUCAAGCGUCGGCUUAUAGCCACUGCGAGGAGCCUGAAAAAGAAGCAGCAGCAACUCCAAGCUGAUCAAGACCUGCUCACAGACAGAUGGACUGAAGUCCUGGCGACCGAGGAAUACGGACUCAAGCACCAUACGGCUGACCGGCCACCUCGUGGCCGGGCUAAAACGGCAUACCAGUCCGCAUACCAGCCAACACCCACACGCCAACAUACUAUGACCCGGGGCAAAAAAACGGGACAUCCAAGAUCGAUCUACGGAUCGCGGGGGAGCGCCUCGGCACGCGACGACGACUGCCACGCUGGAUACACCUUCAACAAAUCCAGUCGGGACGAAUAUAGCCACCCAGAGCAAUUCGACCUGUGUAGCCACAUAGCCCGGCACAGAGGCGCCGCGCACCCCCUCUGCUUCACUGACGAAGUAAUGGAUCAUGAAUUCCCAGAAGGGUUCAAACCCGUAAACAUCGAAUCAUACGAUGGCACAACAGACCCCGUAGUAUGGAUCGAAGAUUUUCUUCUCCACAUUCACAUGGCCCGCGGAGACGAUCUACACGCCAUCAAGUAUUUUCCCCUUAAGCUCAAAGGACCAGCCUGGCACUGGCUAAACAGCCUGCCAGCAAAUUCCAUUGACAGUUAGGAAAACCUGGAAGACGCAUUCCUCGACAACUUCUAGGGCACAUAUGUGCGACCACCUGACGCCGAUGACUUGAGCCACAUUACUAAACAGCCCGGAGAGUCAGGCAGGAAAUUCUGGACUCGGUUCCUAACUAAAAAUAACCAAAUAGUCGAUUGUCCGGACGCCGAAGCCCUGGUGGCUUUCAAGCAUAAUAUCCGUGACGAGUGGCUCGCUCGACACCUCGGCCAGGAAAAACCCAAGUCCAUGGCAGCUCUCACAACACUAAUGACCCGCUUUUGCGCGGGCGAGGACAGUUGGUUGGCUCGCAGCAGCACUACGCCACAUUCUGGCAAUUCGGAUGGCCGCAACAAUAACGGCAAGCCACGACAUAACAGACAUAAGCGACGGAACAACGGCGACAACACUGAAGACACGGCAGUCAAUGCCGGAUUCAGUGGAUCCAAGCCCGGUCAGCGGAAGAAGACGUUCAAAAGAAAUAAUCAGGGACCGUCCAGUCUGGACCGCAUACUGGAGCGCUCGUGCCAAAUUCAUGGCACCCCGGACAAGCCAGCCAGCCAAACCAAUAGAGAUUGCUGGGUAUUCAAACAGGCCGGCAAGAUAAACGCCAAAGACAAGGACAAGGGGCUACACAGUGACGACGACGAGGAGCCCGACGUCCGAACACGGGGGGACAGAAGAAAUCCCCCCCCCCCAGGUGAAAACGGUCAACAUGAUCUAUGCCACGCACAUCCCCAAGCGGGAACGGAAGCGGGCACUAAGGGACGUCUAUGCGAUGGAGCCAGUCGCCCCCAAAUUCAACCCAUGGUCAGCUUGUCUGAUCACCUUUGAUCGUAAGGAUCAUCCUACUAGCAUCCGUCAUGGCAGCUCAGCCGCAUUGGUCUUAGACCCAAUCAUCAAUGGAUUCCACCUCACACGCGUCCUUAUAGAUGGUGGCAGCAGCCUGAACCUGCUUUAUCAGGACACAGUGCGCAAAAUUGGCAUUGACCCUUCAAGGAUCAAGCCCACUAAAACCACCUUUAAAGGUGUAAUUCCUGGAGUGGAGGCCCGCUGUACGGGCUCUAUAACACUGGAAGUGGUCUUCGGAUCUCCGGAUAACUUCCGAAGCGAAGAGUUAAUCUUCGAUAUCGUCCCUUUCCGCAGUGGUUACCAUGCAUUGCUCGGACGAACCGCAUUCGCUAGAUUCAAUGCGGUACCACACUACGCAUACCUCAAGCUCAAGAUGCCAGGACCACGCGGGGUCAUAACGGUGAACGAAAAUAUGGACCGCUCUCUACGAACAGAAGAACAUACCGCAACCCUUGCGGCGGAAGUACAAUGCGGCCUUCUCUGACAAACGAAUCCGGCGACAACAACUCUGAGCACAGUCAAGCGAGUCCGGAGCACCCCGCAAUAGGAUCAUCAGGCACGCCAAGAGUGCGACUAGCAGUCCGGCCUCUGCUUAAGCCCCAUCAAAGCAGCAUUCGUGCCACGUGCACACAAUUACGCACUUAAAAUACCAUGGGCAUAGGCGGAGGCGCAUCAACGACUCAGUCAAUAGUGCGGGUAACCGCCAAAUACUUUCAUACUCUUUCCCUCUUACCUUUCAGGACACCGCAUUGGUGCAGCAUCCUCAAAAGAGCCGAAUUGCCAGACUUAUAGGGGAGGGACAUCCAAGGAGGCAACAGACGUUGUGCACAGAAGGAAAUACCCAGGUGGAAUCUAUUUACGAUCAUUAUACCUGCUUUAUCAUCUGAACACAGCCUGCUCCUGGAUAGGACAUGUUAAAUAGUCCUAUUUUAUCUCUGCUUAACGCAUUCAUUGUAAACGUACGCUUAAACGUAUUUUUCGUCAAUGGGAGAUUAUCUAUAGCGUCAGCUUAUUAUUCUUAUUUGAGCAUUUUUUCUUUUAUAAAUGUUCAUUUGAUAUUGCAUCCGUACACCUUGGUGCGGUCAGUUUGCCAGGGGCUUCUCACGGCGCCAUGUAAUAUGGCAAAUAAAGUCCGAACACUUUCAACAGUGCGGCACCCCGAAAUUAUAGCACUAUAUGCAUCAGCUCCGAAUCAUGUCUUGGGUCUACAGUUGGGAUAGCCCGGCUCCCUUGUUUUGGUGCCUUAUGUUCCGUUAUAUUGGCUAAGGUAGCGCAGGGAGAACUACUGCGAUUGUGUCCCGGUUCUUCCGGACGAGCACCUCAGUAGAGAAAGCCGAAAGUGGCCGGCAUGAUGUGGCGAGAGCUGGUCGCUGUUCGAGAGGUUAUAAAAUCCUUAAAGAUUUUCCGCUUUAGGCGAUAAAUCGGCUUCGUCCAAUCUAGGCGUGUAUAGCGCCCCGAUUCGGCCUUCUGGAUUCUAGGGGCUUCGCCGAAAUUUAAAAUUGUAGACUUCUAUGGCUAAGUGAAAGUUAUAAAGCCGCAUAGUCUGAUUGCCUUGUUCGCUGCGCCGGACACCUCCUUAAGGGACCAAACAUUUGGAUAAAGAGUGUCCGGGUUUUCCACGAACACCCCAGUACUAGUUACAUGGGGGAGGAAGCCGACGACUUGCCUACUUUCAGAAUUUUAUAAACAGCCGCACAUAAGGUAAUAUUUUAAAUAACAAAAGCACUACAUAGCGCGAGUAACUUCGUCUCUAAUUACAAACAUGAUAGAAGUGAAUUCAUUCCAAAAUGGCGUCCUUGGUACACUCAUCAGCGACAAGACGAACACCCUUCAUCACGCCAUCAUAGUACAUUUCGGGAUGGCGAUGCGCCUUGCCCUCCGGCAGCCCGUCCUUGACCAGCUUCUCCGCAUCCAGCUUGCCCCAAUGCACCUUGACGCGGGCAAAGGCUCGGCGGGCACCUUCGAUACAAACGGAUCGCUUGAUCACUUCAAGCCGCGGGCAGGCAUCCACCAUCCGCUUGAUCAGGCCAAAGUAGCUACUGGGCAGGAGCUCACCAGGCCACAUCCUGACUAUGAAGUCGUUCAUAGCCAGUUCGGCCGCCCUGUGGAGUUCGAUCAACUGCUUCAGUUGGUCGCUCAGAGGCAUCGGAUGAUCGGCCCCAGCAUACUGGGACCAGAACAGCUUCUCCAUUGAGCUCCCCUCCUGGGCACGGUAGAAGUCCGCAGCGUCUGAGGCACUGCGUGGCAGAUCUGCAAAUGCCCCUGGAGAGCUCCGCAUUCGAGUAAGUAAAAGAAACGCCUCCUCCACAUGUUUGCUUUGCAUAAAGAAUUUCUUACCCGCUGCUAUCCUUUUGGCCUCCUGGAUCUCCUGCUGUGCUUUCUCGGCUUCGGCCUUGGCAUCUUUCAAACUUACAAGGGCCUUCGCAAGCUCGGCCUGCUUCAUCUUUAGAUCAUGCUCCACGGACUCGCACUUUUUGCCGAGGUCCUGGAGCUCUUGAUGUACCUCGCCCACUCUAGCACUUUGCUUUUCGCGCUCCUUGCAUUCCAAGGCCGCUUUGGUUUCGGCCUCGGACAACGCUUUCUUCAGGGAUGCCACUUCAGCGGUGGCCCCUGUUACACAGCCACGACGCUUUGGCAUUAGAUUGACCAAUUUUGCUUAUCUUUAAACACAUACGAACGGGGAAUCACUUACCUUUAUUCUCCUCGAGCUGCCUCUUCGUGAGGCCGAGCUCUCCCUGCGCCUACUCCAGAUCCCGCUUCAGUUCGGCAACUUCGGCAGUACGGGCAGCAGCGGCAAGCAGCACGGCCUGCUUAUUCACAUAAACGCUUUUUAGACUCCUGCGGAUUGCAAUUGACCCUCCGUUUGGCUUUUCUUUCCGAACACCAACCAGAGUAUCAAGGGCUACUACCAAUCGGGUGGUAAUUUCAUACAUUUUUAUUACUUACAUCAAAGCCCGUCAGGAGGCUUGUGCAGGCUUCGGUCAGUCCGCUUUUGGCGGACAAAACCUUUUGAAUCACCGCACUCAUAAGAGUACGGUGCUCUUCUUCCAUGGAAGCGCCUUGAAGCGCUUCCACCAGGCUAUGCGGCGCCGUUGAUGCGACGGAAGUCCUCGGCACGGGCGGCUCGCCCUCCCUAACGAGAGGCUGCCCGCCUAAGUCCGGAACCGUCGGAGGUUCCGGAGCAGUGUUCGGUCGAGAGUCCGCCUUGUUGCAGCUCUCAUCGACGCGAUCCGCGGGGAUCUUGAACCCCGCAUGUCCGACAUUCGGAAGUCCGCCUUUGGGAGUCCCCAGGGUCACCUCCCCCUGCUCGGGGAACCUUCGGGACAACACCUCCAUGUCAUCCGCAGGCGGAGGAGUGGUGGCCGUCAGGAGCGAGUUCAUCUCUGAAACGCUCAAAGACCCAUGCGAAGACGACACCUCCGGAUUAUCCCUGGCCGGACUGCAUAUAUGUUCGGCGUUAUUAAACAGCUAUGACGUAAAACCACGGUAGAGCGCGGACACGUAUGAUCGCGCCGGGGGCUUCCCCCUGGGCAGCCACCCUUCAUCGCUGUGAGCGGCCGUGGUGGAGUAGUCCGGAAGGGAUGUUUUCCCCUUCUUGGACGCCCCAGCCUCCCCCUCCGGGGCGGCUUUUCUCUUCUUCUCCCCCCUAGUGCGGGGAGGCGGAAUUUCUUCUUGAUUCCCCCCGCCUCCGCGGGAGGAAUCUGUCUCAUCGUCAUCAGACGACAGGGGUAUAACGGCCUUGCGCCGAGGGCCUCUUCCGGCCCCUUGGCCCGCCUCUCCGGGCCCCUCAUCCUUUUCGGAUGGGGCGUAUUCUUCUUCCUCCUCCUCCCCUUCAUGGGAGGAGUCUGCCUCGUCAUCUUCGGACGAGGCUUCUGGCGCAACCUUACGCCGGAGACCCUUUUGGAUCCCCGGGGCCUUCUUCUCGGCCUUCUUCUCCGGUACCUUGUACGGUGCCGGGACCAGCAUCUCCGUCAGGAGAGCGUCAGCUGGGCCCUCUGGCAGCGGAGCCGGACAGUAAACCUGCUCCGCUGUCUCCACAUAAUCCUGAGGCAAAUAUACACAAAUACUUAAGGCUCCCCCAUGAAUGUAUUUGGAAAAAACCGAACCCGGUGGUAGUCCCAAAACUCACCGGACGAGGGGGCCGCGCUGCAUGAAGUCCGCGGUCCUCGGAUGUGGGAGGAGGUACUUCGGAGGCCUUAAACAACUCCUUCCACGCAUCUUUGUGCUUCAUGCCAUAGAGCCUCUGGAGCGUCUGGUGUUCGGCCGGGACGAACUCCCAAAGAUUGAAUGCCCGCCUUUGGCACGGCAGAAUCUGGCGAAUGAGCAUGACCUGGAUCAUGUUGACGAGCUUGAUGUUCUUGUCCUUCAUGCUCUUGAUGCAGGUUUGGAGUCCGGUCAGCUCUGUAGGUUCGCCCCAAGUUAGGCCCUUCCUUUCCCAGGAGGUGAGCCGCAUGGGGGCUCCGGAUCGGAACUCGGGGGCCGCCGCCCAGUUGGCGCCGCGCGGCUCAGUGAUGUAGUACCACCCCGAUUGCCACCCUUUUACGGUCUCCGUAAAGGAGCCGUCCAGCCAGGUGACGUUAGGCAUCUUGCCCACCAUGGCCCCUCCGCAUUCCGCUUGCUGGCCGCGUGCGAUCUUCGGCUUCACGCAGAAGAUUUGCAGCCACAGGCCGAAGUGAGGCCGGAUGUGGAGGAAGGCCUCACAUACGACGAUGAACGCCGAGAUGUUGAGGACGAAAUUCGGGGCUAGAUCAUAGAAAUCUAGCCCGUAGUAGAACAUGAGCCCGUGGACGAAGGGGUGAAGUGGAAACCCCAGUCCACGACCGAAGUGGGCGACGAACACGACUCUCUCGUGGGGUCCCGGGGUCGGAACGACCUGCCCAGCGUCCGGUAGUCGGUGCGCUAUGUCUGCGGCCAAGUAUCCGGCCGCCCGAAGAUUUGUGAUGUGCUUCUCCUCGACGGUGGAAGCCACCCACUUGCCUCCUACUCCGGACAUGUCUAGCUGUGCGGAGGAGACUUGGGCUUGGGCACUGGAGCUCGAGGGGGCAAGAGUGGGCAAAAGGAGGAAGAAGGCGUGGGUAAAAAUGGGGAAAUCUUAUCCCUUUAUAGAGGCGACGAAAGCGGUGCGCCUCCCCACUUGCCCGUUGGGAAUCGCUUGCUUCCCAAGCGCCACGAUUAAUGAUGUGGUGGGAUUACCCGUACCCGUAUUGAUGAGAAUCCCGUGAUAAGGGGGCACGAUCUCUGCUUUGACAGGACGUGUCAAGGAAACCGCCUCGCAAUAUGCGCUAUGGCUGGUUGUGGAAAGACGGUUCGAAUAAUGACCUGACCGUAAUGACACGUCGCGUUGCCUAAAAAGUUGUCAGCAGAUUGCAUUUGUGAAACAUCAUUCUCUCUACGGUGGCAUGCGAAGAUCAUCUUGUGGAUCCGGACACAGUUUGAGUGUUUGAUAAUUACCUUGGAGUAUUCGGAGGAGGAACCCGCCCUGCAAUGCCGAAAACAAGACUGCACGCCGGACUCAUUGUCAUUGAAGCCUAGUUCAGGGGCUACUGAGGGAGUCCUGGAUUAGGGGGUAUCCAGACAGCCGGAUUGUGUGCAACGUCCGGACUAUUGAAGCAUGAAGAUACAAGACUCAAGACUUCGGCCCGUGUCCGGAUGGGACUUUCCUUGGCGUGGAAGGCAAGCUUGGCGAUCCGGAUAUUAUAUUUCCUUCCUUGUAACCGACUCCAUGUAAACCCUAUCCCUCUCCGGCAUCUAUAUAAACCGGAGAGGUUGGUCCUUAGAAGGCCGAUCACAAUUACAAUCAUACCAUCAUAGGCUAGCUCUUAGGGUUUAGCCUCUACAUCUCGUGGUAGAUCUACUCUUGUACUACCCAUAUCAUCAAUAUUAAUCAAGCAGGAAGUAGGGUUUUACCUCCAUCGAGAGGGUCUGAACCUGGGUAAACAUCUGUGUCCCUUGCUUCCUGUUACCAUCAGCCUUGACGCACAGAUCAGGACCCCCUACCCGAGAUCCGCCAGUUUUGACACCGACAGCUGGGCCUCCGGUUAAUAGGUUAGUUCCAAAAAUAAUAUAAAAGUGUAUAAUAAAGCCCGUAAACAUCCAGAACAGAUAAUAAAAUAGCAUGAAUGCUUCAUAAAUUAUAGAUACGUUGGAGACGUAUCAGUCUUGCCUUCGGAUCUGUGAUAGAAGGUGUACCCAACAGUUUCCUUUGGGUAUCCUAUGAAGACACAUUUCUCCGAUUUGGGUUUGGGCUUAUCAGGUUGAAGCUUUUUCACAUAAGCAUCGCAGCCCCAAACUUUAAGAAAUGACAACUUUGGUUUCUUGCCAAACCAUAGUUCAUAAGGCGUCGUCUCAACGGAUUUCGAUGGUGCCCUAUUUAACGUGAAUGCAGACGUCUCUAAAGUAUAACCCCAAAACGAUAGCGGUAAAUCAGUAAGAGACAUCAUAGAUCGUAUAAUAUCUAGUAAAGUACGAUUACGACGUUCGGACACACCAUUACGCUGUGGUGUUCCGGGUGGCGUGAGUUGCGAAACUAUUCCGCAUUGUUUCAAAUGUAGAACAAACUCGUAACUCAAAUAUUCUCCUCCAUGAUCAGAUCGUAGAAACUUUAUUUUCUUGUUACGAUGAUUUUCCACUUCACUCUGAAAUUCUUUGAACUUUUCAAAUGUUUCAGACUUAUGUUUCAUUAAGUAGAUAUACCCAUAUCUGCUCAAAUCAUCUGUGAAGGUGAGGAAAUAACGAUACCUGCCGCGAGCCUCAAUAUUCAUCGGACCACAUACAUCAAUAUGUAUGAUCUCCAACAAAUCUGUUGCUCGCUCCAUUGUUCCGGAGAACGGCGUUUUAGUCAUCUUGCCCAUAAGGCAUGGUUUGCAAGUACCAAGUGAUUCAUAAUCAAGUGAUUCCAAAAGUCCAUCAGUAUGGAGUUUCUUCAUGCGCUUCACACCAAUAUGACCCAAACAGCAGUGACACAAAUAAGUUGCACUAUCAUUAUCAAAUCUGCAUCUUUUGGCUUCAACAUUAUGAAUAUGUAUAUCACUACUAUCGAGAUUCAAUAAAAAUAGACCACUCUUCAAGGGUGCAUGAACAUAAAAUAUAUUACUCAUAUAAAUAGAACAACCAUUAUUCUCAGAUUUAAAUGAACAACCGUCUCGCAUCAAACAAGAUCCAGUAUAAUGUUCAUGCUCAACGAUGGCACCAAAUAACAAUUAUUUAGGUCUAUAACUAAUCCCGAAGGUAGAUGUAGAGGUAGCGUGCCGACGGCGAUCACAUCGACUUUGGAACCAUUUUCCACGCGCAUCGUCACCUCGUCCUUAGCCAGUCUUCGCUUAAUCCAUAGUCCAUGUUUCGAGUUGCAAAUAUUAGCAACAGAACCAGUAUCAAAUACCCAGGUGCUAUUGCGAGCUCUAGUAAGGUACACAUCAAUAACAUGUAUAUCACAUGUACCUUUGUUCACCUUGCCAUCCUUCUUAUCCGUCAAAUACUUGGGGCAGUUCCGCUUCCAGUGACCAGUCUGUUUGCAGUAGAAGCACUCAGUCUCAGGCUUAGGUCCAGACUUGGGGUUUCUUCUCCUGAGCAGCAACUUGUUUGUCGUUCUUCUUGAAGUUCCCCUUCUUCUUCCCUUUACCCUUUUUCUUGAAACUGGUGGUCUUGUUGACCAUCAACACUUGAUGCUCCUUCUUGAUUUCUACCUCCGCAGCUUUUAGCAUUGCGAAUAGCUCGGAAAUUGUCUUAUCCACCCGUUGCAUAUUAUAGUUCAUCACGAAGCUCUUGUAGCUUGGUGGCAGUGAUUGAAGAAUUCUGUCAAUAACACUAUCAUCCGGAAGAUUAACUCCCAGUUGAAUCAUGUGAUUGUUAUACCCAGACAUUCUGAGUAUAUGUUCACUGACAGAACUAUUCUCCUCGAUCUUGCAGCUGUAGAAUUUAUUGGAGACUUCAUAUCUCUCAAUUCGGGCAUUUGCUUGAAAUAUUAACUUCAGCUCCUAGAACAUCUCAUAUGCUCCAUGACGUUCAGAACAUCGUUGAAGUCCCGGUUCUAAGCCGUAAAGCAUGGCACACCGAACUAUCGAGUAGUCAUCAACAUGAAACUGCCAGGCAUUCACAAUGUCUGCAGUUGCCGGCGCAGGUGGUACACCUAGCGGUGCUUCCAGGACGUAAUUCUUCUAUGCAGCAAUGAGGAUAAUCCUCAAGUUACGGACCCAAUCCGUGUAAUUGCUACCAUCAUCUUUCAACUUUGCUUUCUCAAGGAACGCAUUAAAAUUCAAUGGAACAAUAGCACGGGCCAUCUAUCUACAACAACAUAGAUAAGCAAAAUACUAUCAGGUACUAAGUUCAUGAUAAAUUUAAGUUUAAUUAAUCAUAUUACUUAAGAACUCCCACUUAGAGAGACAUCCCUCUAAUCAUCUAAGUGAUCACGUGAUCCAAAUCAACUAAACCAUGUCGGAUCAUCACGUGAGAUGGAGUAGUUUUCAAUGGUGAACAUCACUAUAUUGAUCAUAUCUACUAUAUGAUUCACGCUCGACCUUUCGGUCUCAGUGUUCCGAGGCCAUAUCUGCAUAUACUAGGCUCGUCAAGUUUAACCUGAGUAUUCUGCGUGUGCAAAACUGGCUUGCACCCGUUGUAGAUGAACGUAGAGCUUAUCAUACCCGAUCAUCACGUGGUGUCUCGGCACGACGAACUUUGGCAACGGUGC